UUUUUUUUUGUUAAUUAAUUAUACACUGAAUCGUUUACCUCUGAGCUUGUAAAUGGCCCUCUUCACCACUCUCUCGCACCCGCUGCAGCACAUCCUUACUUUAAGCUCCACCGUCUACAAGAAUAUUUAUUUUAAUUACACUCUUGAGGAAAGAAUAAAUAUAAUUACGGUUAAAAAUUUCAAGGAAUCAGCACUGGAUAGGCUGUUGGAUAUUCUAGAUUUGGUUAGUGCGGUGGUUUAUAUUGUUUUAAUUAGUGUAAUGGUGAAGGCUGGCCCAACCAUUAAGACAAGGAUAAGUUGGAAUAUAUAUUGUAGCCUAUGAUAAAGGCUUGGCAAUUGUUCUGUUCGAGUUCGAAAAAUUAAUAUAUGUUGGCUAUUAGUUACGGGUUCCGAUAAUAAUCGCUUUAAUAAAUAACUUUUGAGAUAGUAAAGUGCAGGAUGUAUCCAUACUCUAUCUAUAACGUUCAGAAUUUUGUUUAAACUUGAAGGAUAAAAAGUAACAAAAUUUAUCGAUCAUUCUUCAAAUACUUGAAACUUCAAACAAGCCCCGAGAGAGUCGUAGAUCGCAUAUAUUCGCGCAAGCCGUGAAGAGUCAUGGACCGCACAGCAAAACCUAGGCCGAUAUGUAAAAACAAAAAAACAGACGACGAUGAUAGCGACCGACGAACCAACCUGCAAGGAGAGUGGGCGAGACUUGGUCUUGCCGGCGCCCUUGUGUUUCUUGCUUCGGUUGAUAGGAGCAGAGAUGGAGUGAAGGCCGUGUUCGUCACCCAAGUUAAAGUAACAGUAGCUAAUCGCAGAUAUUAUCGACUUGAAUGCUGUCGCCAACACACUUGAGCCCAUGAAGAAGAAGAAGAAGAAGAAGAAGAAGAAGAAGACAAAGAGAAAGAGCAGUUAUGUUACACGUACGUACGUGCGUAGGUUUAUCUAAUAGAGCUAGCUAGAUACAUAUGAAUAUGAUAUUGCCGAUCGAUCCGUUAAAUACAGUUAAUAAAUAAGGGUAUGGUCGGGGAUUUAUAAACUAACUAUAAAUUGACUACUUGUUGCUUGUCGUGCAUGUAGAGUAUAAUAAUCAGAUAUUAUUUUUUUGUUAUAAUUAUUAUUCUUCCGCGUGCCAUCUGCGUAAGCGCAUUGGUUCCAUUUUCUGCUGCAUGGCCUAGUCAGAUUGUCUCUUAAAUCUACUGACAAAGUUGAUUUUACGUAAUAUUCCCCACCCCCACCAUACCCGCCGCAUGAAUUAAUAUCACCGGCUGCUGGGACGUCGUUUUAAUAUUAACGACAUAUUAUUACACAUGUAUGUACGUGUAUAUAUAUAUAUAUAUAUUAUUCUUAUCUUAUGUAUAAUGUUCGAUCCUGCCUUGCCUUUGUAUAUAAUAUGUGUUCUAGGUAGACGAACUAAUUCUAAUGUUUCCCUAUUGGGGUGUGGCAAAUGGUUUCGCAUCUAUAUAUGCUGCUCCAAUAGGGACUCAUCACCUGUUGCUUAUAUCGCUUUUUGUUGUGGGAAAGCGGAAUCGAGAUGGUCAGAAACCUUGGACAAAAUUUUAAGUUUGAGACGGAUGGUUUGCCGGUUCGGCGAACCACAUUUGCUGUGUGGGUUAAGCUAGCUGAGAAUUAAUAAUAGACCAUGUAUAUUUCCUCAAGAGAGGGGAACAAUAUAUAUUUGUCAUCAUAUUCUGAUGGAAUAUCACAUGAAUGCGUUCUGGUUCAUUAGUUUUGAGCUAGCUAAAUACGUGUAUGAUAAUUAAAAUAAAAUGGACACAACUAAUUAGGUACGAGAUAAAAUAUUUACGUCGAAUAAGGAUGGGAAGGGAAAAUAAGAUAGAUAUCAUGACAUUUGUUAGAUAAGAUGAUGUGGAAGUGGGAUACAAUUUGUUAGAUAGGAUUGUACGAUGUUAAUGAAUUGUGUUUUCCUGUAUCAAUUGGUAUAUAGGAAUUAAAGAGAGUGAUUAGUAUACAAAUUGAGAUAAUAUAUGAGAUUAAAAAUAAAAAGUGAAAUAGAAAUUUAAUAUUUGAAUAAUUGUUGCCUCCGUCGGGAUCGCAAACUGAAAAUGGACGUUGGUGAUGGAUUUACGUUACCAAAAAAAAACUGAGCACACCGAAAGUUUCGGUAUACCAAGUAUAUUGAAGAAUUCACCUGAAUUUAUAUUUCGUUGAUAAUUGACUUUAUAUUUUGUUAAUAGUUAAUUUUUUUAUAUGAUGAAAGACUUUUUUAUAUGAUGAAAGACACCCCUUUGGAUAGUUAAUUUUUUAUAUGACGAAAGACAUCCCCUUGGACAAAUUCUUGCCUCCGGCUUUGACUAGAAGUAGCUCGUGCUAUGACGCAAAAUAUGUUAUGGUGAAGAUUUGAAGUACGUUAAGUAUGAGAAAAUUAUGGGAGAGUAGUAUAGUGGGCACGAAAAUGCGAGUAGAACACAGGCAAGAAAGGGGGUCAUCUAAGGGUUUAUUAAUCGUCUUCCCAAUUGGAGAGAUGUGUUUCCCAAAAGUCAACGGAAGAGCUCUUGAGUGAAACCCAAAUUAGCGAAAACACAAAGUAUAUUCUCUAUAUAUAAAAGUAUAAUAUGAGUCACUAUUGAAUGAAUAGUGUUUGGUUCUCUCGUGAGAGAUUUACUUUGAGUUGAUGAGGGCUUUACUUUGAUUUCACAUAUCGUCAUUUAUGGGUUUUGUGGUAUUUUUCAUUCUUCAAUUGAAAUGGUUUAAAUUGUCUCACGUUUUCAUUUUGUUAAUUACAAAAUUAUUUGUUCUACCUUUUUUGUAACAAACGAAAAGUUCAUUUAUUUUUAUUUAUUUUCUGUAAAUUUCCAUAACAUCCCACGGAUAAUUAUAAUAUGAAAUAAAAGAAUAAAAUGGUCAAAAUAAUGAAAAGUGGGUGAAAUAGAAGAGCAAACAAAUAAAAAAAGAGAAAGUGUAUGAUGAACAAUGGUUGUAAGAAACCUAAUCCUUGUUAUGUAAUUGUAUUCCUCAUUUUACUAUUAAAGUAUAACGAUUUACCGAUGAUUAUAAAUAAUUGUAGUAGUAUAAUUAGUUAUUAAUGUAACGAUUUAACUAGUUAUAAUUAUGACUAGUUAUUAAAAAGUAUAAUUAGUUAUAAAGUUUAAUAACUAAAUACAAACGAUUAUAAAUAAGUAUAAAAAGACGGCUAGACCCUUCAGAGCUCGCCAAUGAUUAUAAUUAAUUAUUAAAUUAUUAAAUUAAUUACAAACGAUUAUAACUAAUUAUUAAAUUAUUAAAUUAAUUACAAACGAGUAUAAAUAAUUAUUAAAUUAUGUAAUUAGUUACAUGCAAUUAUACCGCAUUACAGGUGACCAUAACUAAGUGAGGUGGUUGAAAGUUCGCUGCUUGCUGGAGUGUCGCAGACCCUGUGGUAGCGGCGGCGGCUAAAAAAAUACGAAUGAAAAAGAAUUGCAUAACCUUUACUUAACAGUCCCAUAUAUUUGUUGCCAACAGUCAAUCAGGACGCAUACAUAGAUAAUAGAAACUUAUAUAUUUGAUUAUAAUUUUCUUGUACAAAGUAUUAUUGUACCUUGAAUUAAAAUACUACUAGUACUAUAACAUGCAUUCCAAGUAUAAACCUUAUCCACCUUUGGCCUGACUGAUUAAGUUAGUACCAAACUUUUUAUAAUUCGUUACACAAAUAUGUACCCAUCGUUUAUAUGGAAAACUAUGUAUCGUGAAGAUACAAUGUGUCGAUUAUUUAUUACGAAACCGAUGAAAGGAACACAGUGGUGUCAUUUGGUUGCAUGGACGCAUAUUCGAUUUAAUAAAUCUGGCUAGCUAGCUAGUAGUAGUCGUAGUAGUAGUAGUAGUAGUGCAUGAAGAAUAUUAAUUUGAUGGUUCGUCCCUUCAUUAUCUUGCCUCUCUAACCUGUUCAGUUCUGAUUCGAUCCUUCGGUAUUCUAUUUUAUUAAUACACUGAAUGGAAUUGUGUAACAUAAUUGGGGAAAGAAGAAAAUGUUAACAAAGUAAAAAACAAGUUGGAAAAACAAAAGAGAAGAUCAUGGGUAUAAGGAAUGUGCACAAACACAGAGAGAGAGAGCAGUGGUUUUGUUCUUUAUAGUUUCAGAAUAUAUACCCACCCACCUUAUCUCUUCUCUGCGAUAUCUAUGGCGGUUCUAUUAUCUAUUCAAAGGUGGACGGGUGGCUGUAGAACAUAAGCUUUCAUGACUGGUUAUCAUGUACCUACACAUACGUCACCUUCAUAAAUCUCAGGAAUGGAAUAUAUCCAUGUUACGUUGUUUCAGUCAUUUCAACAAGUCUUGUAACAUUCUUCGUCUACUUUUCUGUUUCUCUAUCUUCAUAAAAGAGGCACUCAACCCUCGACCACAACCCAACUAGACCAUUGCAAUCGGGGCGUAAAGGAUUCAGAACGGACAGGAACAAGACCCCGUUUCCAAAAUCAAAACACUUGUCACAAAACAUUUCCAACUAAAAAUUGAAAACAGACCAAAGCAGUUGAAGCUUCAAAGGGGUGAAGAACAUAGAAGCGUUAGUUAGAAAGUCUACCCUCUGUCGCUUCUGUUAUGUCGAAACUAAAUUAUAUACUAGGUACUGCAUCUAAAAGCCCCACUUAACUAUACAAACGACACUCUGUUUUUCCCCCACUGAUACAUAAAGAGAGUACGAGACUGCCUUCUUGACUAUGUGCCUAACGUUAACAAACACAUUAUAGAAACAUGCGUUUACAACCCCAUACUUACCCAUCACGACCACAGGCAUCUGCAUAUUCCAACCAUACCGGCCACCAGAAACACAACUCCUGAUAAACCAAUCACCCAUCUUGACCUAAUAGCAGAACCAUUCUUCUCAUAACUUUGACAAAUCGAACCUCCAUGUUCGCUUUUAUCAUUCCCUUUUAACCUCAGCCUGAUGUUCUGCUUGACGACCGGGCCUUCUUUCAUCUGAUCAUCACGAAUUGCCUCAUCGCCUUCUUUACCGUCUUGGCCCUGAAAUCGACAUUUUCAGUGACUUGUAAAAAGUAUUGUCUUUUAUAGUUUUAGUACGAAGAAGGCAUACUAUAGGGAGCAUCGAAAGGUACAGGCCAACAAACUUACCUCGGUUAGAGUUGAUUGCACUUCAUCUUCAUCCUCUACGCAGCUUGUGUCUCCUAGUCUUGAUUGUAACCGUAGCCUCCUUGCAGCAGUACCUUGACCAACAAAGUUGUCUGAAGCUCGUGCUCGAGGUUGCCGUGUUCUAAUCUUGAUUCCAGUUCCGCCAUCAUUGUCAAUGCUUACAGAGUUCUCCACGGGGUGGGACAUUCCAAAGGAUGUGUUUGUUGCAUAGUUGGCAGGAUGGGUUGCUUGCAUAACAAAACUAUUUCUGUUGUCAUUGAUAUUUCUGCUUCCAGCUUCUGCGUUAAGGAAUCUUGUCUGUGCAAAAGAAGACCGAGAAGCUGAUUCCAUCUGCAACAGCUAAUGCCAAUCAGAAGUUUCAUACUGUUAACCUCAUCAACCGCCGUAGAGGAUACAAGCUGACGAGAAAGCAUAAUAGUUUGUAACUUGAAGUAGUAGUUAAAAGAUAAAUAAUAAUAAUAAUAAUGGAUAAAAUAAUCUAAUUAGCAGAGUCGGUUUGUCUUCUGCGGUCUGCCCGAAGAUAAGUCCUAUGAGAUGCAAACGGCAAACCAUACUAGUUGUCAAAGCUAUAAUCUACCAUAACUAGACAUGAAGACCCAAGCCUCUGAUAUCAUAUGCAAGGCAAAUCCUACGUAACCAAAUACAAACAUACUGGUCUCCUAGUAUGAGUUAUCAUGAACAAGAAUCUCUUUACCGGAAGUUUUAUCUUUUACGACUGUUCAAGUCAAUUUUCACAUAUAACUGUUCUUUAUAUCAUGCGAAAAGAAAAUUAAUUUUGAUCCACCAUAAGAUAAAACGCUAAGCCUCAGAUUCAAAUAAAUGAUGGGCGAUUAUCCUGCGAUAACAGAUAGUUUACAUUCUUGUCUCCUAGUGUAAAACAUUUUGUGUUUUACCUGUGCUUGAGCCAUUUUGGCAUCCAUAUUGUUGUGUAGUUCCCAGUUUCUUACAUGGAAACUUUCUGGAAGUAAACCAAGAUUUUUGUCACUGGAGGCUUCUUCAAAAGACAAAUCAUCGUUAUGGAACACCUCAUCCAACAGCUCUGUGAGGGAUACAUCUUGUUCACUUGUGCCAUCCUGGAAUUGGAAUCCAUUAAGGUCAUUACCAAAGUCAUUGUCAUAAUGAGAGUCGAAAUUUAGCCCCAGAUCUCCAUAAGGGUGCGGCUGCAUUGGGGAGAACAUUUUGUAAUCAACUUCACCAGAUGUGAACUCAUAAGGAUGGGAACUCCCAUCCACCAGUGCAUUUGCCUAGAACACAAUGUACAAAGACAAAGGCAUUCAAAAACAGUUAGUAACUUGGACAGUAAAAGGAAACAUAUAGAAACUACAAACUGAAAGCAUACAGAAACCAAAAAAAGUCGAAAACUUCACCUCUUCAACAGUCAAUUCCGUGACAUGAUCCUCCACAUCUGAAUUCAUAUGGCUAUUGCAGCUGCUAUCGGCAGGAACCAAAGCAGUAGUAGGCGUCAUGCAGUCUAACAAAGUAUCCGAUGGUUUUCCACCUCGCAUACUGGAUGUAGCAGUCUCCUGAACUAAAUCUGACGUUGCUUCAUCAGGGGAGGACUUGGUAGUGGUUGGAGAGUAACCGGUUUGCUCAACUUCAUCAUACUUCACCACAUCAACCUUCUCCUCCGGCUUCCGGAACAACCGAAAGAGGACAAACGGAGCCUGACAAUACAAGGACAAAGAAAGGAACAUUUAGAAACAAUAUAUCAACAGACUAGUACGUAGCCCAUGGUAAAAAGACCAACCUGGCCUGGUCCAGUGCCAUCAAGAUCUUCGAGGGUAGGACGAUACUCGUGCAUAAUCCAGUUACUUCGCUCACCCUUGGGAGCACGACCUCUGUAGAAGACCAACGUCUUCUUCAUGCCGAUAGAAACAGGAGUAGAACCAGGCCUCCUGGACCUAAUGGUACGGUCUUUGCCAGUAGCUUUCCAGUAUCCAGCUUCAGUAGCCCUGUUAGACCUAUGACCAUUAGGGUACUUUCGGUCACGAGGGCAGAAGAAGAACCACUCCGGAUCAUCAUUCUUGAUCACGGAUAGACCUACAAUGAAUUGGUGAAACGAUAAUAUACCUAUAGAGUGAUGCAGUAGUGCGCAGAAACUUCAAAAUUGGAGCAAGUAAUAUAGUCAAACGGAAUCGAAUCAGUAGAGGAAAUCCAGAAAUUAUUCGCAUCCCCAGGAAUGAGGUAAAGAGCGGAAUCACUUACUCAAUCUUUCACAUCGAAAUAAUAAAAAUAAUAAUAAGUAGAAAGGCAAAGGGAGGAACGAAGAAACGAACCAGGAAGAUCCCAAGGCUCCCAUUUGCAGACAUCGAUUUCAGGGAUGACCUCGACCUCGGAAUCGCGGCCGUUGAUCUUCAACCUGAGGUAGUGAUUGAUGAGUUCCUCGUCAGUAGGCCUGAAUCUGAAGCCCAGAGGCAGCGAUUGCAUCGAUAUCACAGCCAUUUUUCUUCGUUUUAUUUUUGCUAGUGAACCUAGAAACCUCCAAUUCUGCGAUUAUUGGAGCUGCUUUAUGGAAAGGGUACGGUACGCUAGGUUUACAGACACCGGAAUUGAAUUGGGUAUGGAGGUUAGGAUUGACUGGAAGCAGGAAACAUGGAGGGGAAUCGGAGGAGCCGCACAAGGGAAAGUAAGUGAGGGAAGAAGGUGUCGCUUUUGUCAACUCUAGCGGCCAACUUUAGUUAACAGAGAGUCUUACUGAUUAAGUUAAGGUUUUUAGACUCAGACUGUCUCUCCCUCUCUCCGUGGCCAUAUCUGCUUCUACGCGGUAAUAUUUGCCGCAUGUCAAUAAUAGCAUUUUUUUUGGUUGAUUUAUGGGGUUAAAUACUGAAAUGGUCCCAUAUAUUUAGGUGGGUUACCGGUAACUAUUAAAGGUUAUUUUUUUAUGUGUUAUGAUGUGAUCUGAUGGUUGCAAAAAUUUUGAACAAAUUUGUCACAUAUGCACUACCACGUCAGAUUAAUGUUUUUUUUGAAAAGUGGCAAGCUACCUUGUAGGUAAUUUUUUUAUGUUCUGUGACAUUCAUUGUUGUGGCUAGUUCGAGAUUUCAAGAAGAAACUUUUCGUAAGGAGAGGGAUUGUAACACCCCACUUUUGGUUUACUAGUUUAAUUUGGUUGAUAAUGAGUUGAUUGAGGAAUCAUAUAGAGUUAAGAAGAGUAGACAUUAAUCUUAUAAAACUUAGGCCGUUGGAUGGUAAUUGUGUUUUUUUAUUAUUAUUGGUGGAAGAUGAGUUAUUGUAUAAAAUGGUGGUGUGAAGUAAGUUGAAAUGUUUUACUGAUUACUUUUUUAUUUGAUACUGCAUACAAUUUAACCAAUAUAAAAUUAUGAUUGAACCGUCAAACCUCCUAUCCCUAAUAUAUCAUUGAAAACACCGUUAUUACCACAUUUACGAACAAUAUUGUUUCUUAAAUGUAUUUCAGAAGGAACUAAAUUCCGGACCAGAAAAUGUAACUUGAUAAGAAAGGGUUGAUAAUCUUUGAACAAAAUUGUCAUUAGCCAACCACGUAGUUUGUUCUAUAUAGAGGAGCACACAACGUUGUUGUUUAUACACCCUGGCUAGUACCAACUGACUUGUGCACUGUGAAGGACCUGGCAGCUUGGAGUAAGGCGUGCUGCCCCUCCACAGGGUUUCCUCACCAUUCUAUUCAACGUCAUAAGACUGAGAGUUCCCUGACACAUACUCUUACUAAGAGUAUAUAUUGCGAUAGGUCAUUUAUUUGCGAAAGGUCACUCAUGACAUCCAUGGACAUAUUUGUCAGGGAAACAAAGGUACUUUUUUCUGCUUAUCGGCGACUAGUGCUGAAGCGAGGGCUAUUCUCAAAACUACAAGGACAACAGUUUUAUGUUCAAAUCCCACCACAAUUUUCUCGUAUUGCAUUAAUAUCAUCAAUAAAGUCCUUGACAAUCGAAGUCUCCCUUGGCCGUGGGAUUGAUAUGCCACCCUUGGGAUGAUAUUUCAACUUACUGAUAAUGCUCCUAGGAUCAAAUACGCUUUCACUACUCGGGAGCUCAGUAGGAACUAGCUAGAGCUCUGUGAGUGGCUUCAUCUACUAGCUAGAGCUCAUGCUAUCCAUCGUACUUGAGUUUUUUUCCUUGACUAUAUUGACUUGUUUAUUUCGGAUGUAACAGUAAUAAAAAAAGGGCUAGUACCAAGUGAGCCAUUUCUGGCAAGAUAUGCCGAUGUGGAUGUCAAGAGCAAGAAUUUAGAGCUCAUUCAAUGUCAACCUUAUAUACUUCGGAAAUUUGCUGGCCUGCGUCUCUGUGAAUGAUCUCCAUGGCAUCCACUUUUGAGUGGUAAAGCCUGCAAAAUUACAAAUCUUGUACGUACUACUCCAAAAUAAUGGGCUGAGUUGCAGUACACAAUUUGGACUUAGACGGUUAAGACCUAAUCUUGAUUUCCUUGAAGAUAUUUUUACUACUAGAAAGAUUGGUGAGAUGUCAAGCUUGCUACGAAACCACACAACUUGGAAUCAAACGUCUUGCAUGCAUCAGCAAAUACUUAAUUAGUGAAGGUAGGAAGAAAAUGAUUCCUGGAACACCAGGGCCUAACAACUUUCAUGAAUAAUAAACAAACAACAUCUACCAAGCGACUAAUUCGACACUGAAGACUGGAUGGCACCAGCUGUUCACAUUAGGAACAACCAAACAACAUUGCCUAAAUAUCACCCUGCAUGUCUUCUUUUUAAAAGUAUUGGAACAACCUUCCUGCAUUACAGAAAGAUGAGUAAAGAGGAAAAAAGAAAAGACUAACUGGUCACUGUAGAAAGGCUGAAGUGAUGAAUAAAUUUCACCAUCUUAAACUGGCAAACUUAUCAUCUUAUCUCAACAAUUAUACAUGCUUAUCAUCUUAUCUCAACAGGCCAAAAGCUGUGCAUUCAACCAAUGAACUGUGGUCCUCGACUCAAAACAUAAACCAAAUCAAAAGAAAAAAGAUUGUAUGGUAAGAUCCUCUAACCAAUAUAUACACUGUGAUGAUAAGGUUGUAACACUCUAUCCUCCUCCUCCUCCUGCUGCUGCUGCUGUUCCUUUGGUUGUGUUCAACUCCGUACAGCUUAAGUUAAACUAUAAUGCGGGAUGAUACCCGAGAUUAACAUUCGCAUCCACCCGGUGAACUCCUCUCCUCGAACUCCAUUCGUUGCAGAACUCCAGAGCCAACCUCAGUGCAGUUCCUAGUCCAAUCACAACGAUCACACCUGUAUAACCCAUGUUUAGUCUCGAUACCACGAUUCUCGUUCCAACCUCAUCAAGUUCCAAAUCAGCAACCAUAAACAUACUUAUUACUUACCGAUAAUUAUGUUGACUGGUAGAGCGGAAAUCCCCAGGGUGAUUGAGAUCAACACGUCCAACAAGAGUCCCCCGAUCAGGAUCGAGAAUGCCACCCAAAGAGGACUAGAACAACCCUGUUUCAAACAGGAUCGUAUAAGAGAUAAGCACCAUUGGUGAACAAGAACAAAUGAAAGUAGAGACCUACAACUUACCCUUUGCUGGUCUUGAGGUCUGUAUGUCGGAUCAAGCCUCCACACCCAGUAGUUUGUCUGAUACAAAAAAGGAAACAAUCUCAGCUUUUUUUUUCCUAACAUAGGAUUCUAAACAACUUGAACACUCAAUACAGCUGCUGACGCAUUAAGCAGAUUGGUUGUUCUAACAACUGACUAAACCUAAUGACAAUCACACUUCUGACACAAACUAAUCAAAACUUUCAACUUUGUGCCUAGUUUCAACCCCAUAGUAACUUUGGAAAAAGUAUUACGCCUAAAAAAGACAAACCAGCACCAAGUAAAUGCAACAUUACAUCAUCAGUUUCCCACUUCAUACCCAAGGAAAAACAAAAAGAUCACGCCUUUAUUUUGUUGGCAAAGCAUCGAAUACCUACACUUGGUUGAGAUUCCGGAGGAGACACAUUUACAGCGAUAUCUCUGCAAGAGGAAGAAAAGGGGAAACAAUAAUUCAAAAUUGAGUUGACUUCAAUCCAGGAAAUGGAGAGAGUUCAGUCAUAGAGAGUUGACUUACUGGCAUAUCUCACACUUAUUUGACCCUCUAGUCAAGAACCAAGCAUCUAUACAGGAGCGGUGGGAUUUGGCAAGACCACCUUUGCAUUUGCACCCAAGAUCUAUCAGCACUUCUUCUUUGUCCUGCUGACAUACUCUACAAGGACAGAAAAUCGGAAAAGAACAUUGUUAAGGAAUAAGACUUUUAUCAUUAACAUAGCAGAAAGGUUACCUGCAGUUGUCAUGAGAACUCGGAACCCUUGAGAGAGAUGGCUUAGUGGGUGAAGCAGGAGCUGGUAAAUUGGAAGGAAGGGGAGGAGAAUUGUCAUUAGCAACAACAACAACCACACAAGGCACAGAAGUGGCAGUGGAGGCAUGAUCUUCUUCUUCUUUGGCGGCGGCGACUUGAAGGUGGUCAACAUGCUGCUGCUUCUCCAAGUCAAGGUCUUCUUGAGUAGGAUGUAUAGACAAAUUAUUUUCAUGAGAGGGAUUCCCAUCGCCAACCUUAUUAGGCUCAUGCAUCUGCAUCUGACCACCUAUCAUACAAUAAAAACAACAACAAAGGACGCUUCAGAAACAAUCAAUCAGCAAAGAACAAAUAUUUCCUAGCAUCCAAUUCAAACGGAAAUGCUAAAAGUUCUAAACGCGGAAUUUAAGUUUGUGCACAAUCUGUUCUUUUUCAUUUAUCUACUACCUCGUUGUAUGGAAUCGAGCAACUGGGGUUCGUGCGUUUCAGAUCACCCAACACAGAGUCAGCAAAAUUGAGAAGCAAUAGAUGAUUAAAAAAACACAAGCAGUAGAUCACUGAAGGAGACCCAGUGACCCAGAAACGGAAGAAGAAAAAGGAACCAGCUUUCCACCUACCAACGAACCACCACAAAUCACAUAGGAAGAAGAAAAAGUAAAGAGGAAAAAAAAGGAGAAAGGGAAUUAAGGGAAAGCGUAACCUGGAGAAAGGAGAUAUAAUUUUGGGUAAGUGAGAGUUGCAAAAUGGAGGGAGAGACAGUGAGAGAUUUUUUGUAUUGCUGUGGGAGGGGAUAAUAAUAGCUGCAGAAGGUCGGCAGUUGAUGUUAGUAGUAAUUGUCUGCCUGACCGUGGACUGUGGAGGAUGGAUUGGAUGACGAUGGAUUGAUUUAUUUUCGUGAUUAGAACCAAAUUUUUAAAUCGGUUACAAAAUUGAGAAAAUUAAGUAUUUUUUUUGAUAAAUUUAUAAGGAAAUGUAAUAGCCCGAUUAAUUUUAUUAAUGUUGAUGCUAUCGGUUAUAAGGAGGUGUAAAUCCAUAAAUUAGGCCACAAAGAAAGAUAGUCGUCAUCAGGGUGAUGAGUCAAAUAAUCUUCGAAUUCUCCUGACAAGACUAAUUAAGACGCAAAACUCAACCGAUAUUACAGACACGACCUAACCAGACAUAGAACAUGAGACCCCUAACUAAGUAGACUCGAAAAACAAAACAAAUAAAAAAACACUGCAGAGUUCGAAAUAGAAAAAACGACCAGAUCGAAAUACCACUAGACCAGGCAAUGUCGUUGUCCGCGCGAGUUGCCAAGGCUCCGCGGGGCUGAUCCCGUUCACAUCGAUGGGUAGGCCGCCGAUGGCUGGCCUACCUGUGCGUCACCCGCUCCGUGCAUAGUGAGCUUUUCGACUUGCUGCGUCAUCGUUGAUGUUGUAACAACAGAUGUUGCUAUUGUCGUCGGGGGGGGGGGGGGGGUGGGGGGGGGGGGGGGGGGGGGGGGGUUUUGGAUAAUGGCCGGUGCUAGAUGAUUUGGUGGCGGCAGCAACAGUGGAUUCAUGGUCGGGAUUUGGUUUGUGCGGGAAGACAUGGGUUGAGCUCUCUUUCGAGAGAAAGACAAACUUCAACAACUAUCUAUAAACUACUGAGGCAAUCGAGUAAUGUGGAAUUAAGAUCAAAGAUGAAAACUUGAAGGCGGGCUAAGGAACUUGCGACGGCGCUGUAGUGGUUAUAUCGAGAGGAUUUUUUUGGAUUUAGUUAUUGCUAUCGUAAGUAAACAUAAAUAAAAUUUAUAUCAGUAACAAAAUAUUAUUACUUCAAAAAAGAAAUACAUAGUUAAUUAAUUUUGUUUAUGUAGGAACAUAUUAAAUUUUUUUUUAAAAUAAUUAAUUUGAUUAAUUUAAAAGUACAAUUAAUUAGAGGUGUCAUCUAGUAGCUAGUUUUCAGUGUUUUUUUCAUUAUUAUAUUUUCGCGUGAGUUGUUGUCUUUCCCUUGUCGUUGCCCGUUGUCCGUGAGCAAGAGCGAGGUUGCCAUAUUUGUGGUGACCCGCACUCCAUAAGUUAUUUUAUUCGACGAAGAAUUUUUGAUGUUAUGACUUAUUGUUAGGUUUUCUUUGUGGUUGGUCUUCUUGAAAAUAAUGUUAAUCCAAUAGUGCCAGUCAUGAAAGUGGAAUCGGCUCCACAAGAGUCUUAUGCAUAUAUUGGUGGUUUAGAUGCUCAUGUACAAGAAAUCAAAAAAUCAGCUGAGCUUCUUUUCACUCUCUGGAAUGAAUAUAUCAAUAUUAAACCACCAAGUGGUAUCAUUUUGUAUGGAGAGCAUGGGAUUAGCAAGAUAUUGCUUGCAAAGGUAUGAGUUCAACCAUCAUUCGUAUUUGAUCUCUGCUUCAAUGUUUCUCUGUUGUGGCGGUAAAAAAUUAUGUUCAUCUCCUUUUAGAUAUCAUUUUAGGAAAUUAACAACUGUUGUCAUUGUUUGACAUGAAUUUAAAACUUUCCAAAAGCUAACUGUAGAUUCCAUAAUAUCAUUGUUAGGCAAGAAAUUUUGUCCAGGGUUUCAGAUGUUAUGCUAGAUUUUUGCAGUUUGUUCCCUCUUCAUCUUUAUUUGAAAAAUUCCAACAAGCUUGCCCUCUUAUUGUUCCGGCAGGCUGUGGCACAUUCAACUGCAACUUUCUUACGAGUUGUCGGCAAUGGAUUGAUCUACAAGUACUUGGGAUGGACCAAAGUUGGUGCGAGAACUCUUCCGAGUGGCAAACAGUCUCUCUCCAUCAAUUGUCUAAAACAAAGAUAGGAACACAUGAUACAUAUUCAGGUUUGGUUAUUAUUAGUGGUAAUACUUCUCUAUCUCGCUUACUAUCACUUGCAUACAUUAUUCCUCUCUUAAACAUCCUCUUAUUAACUUCCUCCAUACGCUUUGUGAAGAAACGUCCGAAACACUUUAAAUCAACAGCUUAACAAUCAACUCGGUUCUCCGGUCCCAACCAAUUAUUGAACUGCCAUUAAUCUCACUAGGCGAAACACAACAUGUUGUGUGUCCCCCACAUACAUAGAUACGCUAAACAACAAUGAUAGCAUCUCCAUUUCUUAAACAAAAUCCACCAACUCUUUAUAUCAUGCCAAAUCAUAAAUCUAGUCUAAUGUGACAUUUUGAAAAGAAAUAUAGUCAUGACAAUUGCAUGUAAUGUAUUAAUGUAGAUGCAAAAUAGGUAACUAUGUAUGUUCACAAGGGUAAUAUGCCUUGGGAUUCUAGAAAUCGCUGAGGUAUUAGUAGUUCUACGUAACUGUCACCCAAGCGUUAAAUCGAUUGUGUAUGCUUUACGUACUAUAUAGUAGUACCGGUGCUCAGGAUACCAGAGCGUUGAGACCAUGUUUCAGAAAUCAGAAGCUAAGACACAAGUGAUGCCAAUGCAGAAGUGAUCCCUUUCUCCUCGCCUAGGCAAGAAAAAGCAGAAAGAAGAGAAUAUAUCCCAUUCAUUUCAUUACAAGUUAACUUAUUCCCUACGCCUCCCCUGCUCCUCUGCUCAAUAUUUCUUCUUAUUAAAGGCCAUUACCCUCAUAACACAUUGCCUAAACUUCCUUUGCUCCACCAUUAUCCCUUAAAUCAUGUUUCCAGGAGCAAACAAGUCGAGCUCGGGUCCCCAUCCCGACCACCAACCUAAGCUUCUCGAUCGCCACGUAAGAGACAUGGUCAAUACCAUCACCCAACGAGUCUCCGGCAUCCCAACUAGUGGUGGUAGCCAUUCAGCCGCGGCCACUACCACCACCACUGACGAUGAUGAACUGCAACAACACGGUGUGAGCGUCAUCACCCUCGCUGGAACCAACACGGGUGCCACAAUGCGCGGUGAAUUUGACCGCGACUCGCUCCAGCCUUCCAAACGAGGGCUAAUAGGACGCAAGAGCAACAAGAGCAGCGAUAUGGAGGAUGAAGAAGAAGAGGAGGAGGAUGAUGCUAAUGUUGGGACCUACGUCAACAGCAACUUCCAAGCAGUGAAUAACUCUAUCAUGCUGGACAGCAAGUACAGCACCAACGACCCUGGCGUCCACUUGGAAAUCUCCGACCACCACUGCAGAGAAGGCAAACUCGACGCGAGGGGAAAGAAGAACAAUGUUGUCGACGACCACGGGCUUUCGAAAUCUCGUGGUCUUCGUCAACGUCCUUUGCCCCACUCCGUCUCGGAGCAUGACGCAUCCACCUCCGAGUAAUCACACAAUAAGAAACCCUCCGUAAACUACAAUCUUUUGCUACCACUAAUCACCAGUCUAUAUAUUUAUGAAGAAUGAAUAAACUCAUGCUGCCUAUUAAACCGUCUGUCCAUUUAUGUAUUGCUUGAUUUUGCUGCUGCUGCUACAUUAUAAUACAUGAAUCUCACUUCAUUUCAUUUUAUGAUUUGGGUUGAAAGUGAUUUCGAAUAGCAAUUUGAAAUAGGAGGGAUAUUAAAUAUGCAACUGAUUUCGUAAAUGGCUCGUUUAUUUAGUGUAACCUCAACAUAGCAAUUUAGUCAUUUCCUACCCAAAUCACUUACUAAUUUGACAUCAAAUUGAUUUAAAAAUCACCUCCCAAAUCAUUCCAAAUCACUUGGGGACUACAGGAUGAUCACAAAUCCCACUUUAUUUUUAUAUACAAAACCAAAUCACCCAAGACCACAAAAUCUAUCUCCAGAUUCUAGAAACAAAAGACCCCUUAGUUGUAUAUAUACUAAUUUUUUUAUCAAUUAUAUAUAUACUAGAUCUUGCCCGACCGGUUGGCCGAAAGUCGAACGAAUUAAAACACCAUCUGUUUAAAAAAUUCUAUAAGAAAGACAUAGUCAUAUCAUAAGUAUUGUACAUCCUAAUUAAUGUGCUUUAGACAGAAUUCUAAACAAUGAGUAGCUCGCGCAUUGUCGCGGGUUUAGGCACAUUAGCUGGUAGAUCCUUCAGGAUCUUAAUGUGAUUUUAUAAAUGUAAGAAUCAUGUGCAAUUUGAAUGAUAAUGUUAACUAUUGUUAUGGUUACUUGGCCAAACCAGAAUGAGUGAAACAAAGUAAAAUUGGUAGAAUAAAAUGGGUGAAACAAAGUAAUAUUGGUACAGUACUUUUAGGGUGUGUGUAGAUACAAAACUUGUUACAUACGUGUACGGGUAAGAUGUGGAUAGUAAAGUAUUAUCUGUUAACCCGGAAUAGAAAUUUAAACGUUCAAUUACAAUAUUAUUUGAUUAAGUCAUGANNNNNNNNNNNNNNNNNNNNNNNNNNNNNNNNNNNNNNNNNNNNNNNNNNNNNNNNNNNNNNNNNNNNNNNNNNNNNNNNNNNNNNNNNNNNNNNNNNNNNNNNNNNNNNNNNNNNNNNNNNNNNNNNNNNNNNNNNNNNNNNNNNNNNNNNNNNNNNNNNNNNNNNNNNNNNNNNNNNNNNNNNNNNNNNNNNNNNNNNNNNNNNNNNNNNNNNNNNNNNNNNNNNNNNNNNNNNNNNNNNNNNNNNNNNNNNNNNNNNNNNNNNNNNNNNNNNNNNNNNNNNNNNNNNNNNNNNNNNNNNNNNNNNNNNNNNNNNNNNNNNNNNNNNNNNNNNNNNNNNNNNNNNNNNNNNNNNNNNNNNNNNNNNNNNNNNNNNNNNNNNNNNNNNNNNNNNNNNNNNNNNNNNNNNNNNNNNNNNNNNNNNNNNNNNNNNNNNNNNNNNNNNNNNNNNNNNNNNNNNNNNNNNNNNNNNNNNNNNNNNNNNNNNNNNNNNNNNNNNNNNNNNNNNNNNNNNNNNNNNNNNNNNNNNNNNNNNNNNNNNNNNNNNNNNNNNNNNNNNNNNNNNNNNNNNNNNNNNNNNNNNNNNNNNNNNNNNNNNNNNNNNNNNNNNNNNNNNNNNNNNNNNNNNNNNNNNNNNNNNNNNNNNNNNNNNNNNNNNNNNNNNNNNNNNNNNNNNNNNNNNNNNNNNNNNNNNNNNNNNNNNNNNNNNNNNNNNNNNNNNNNNNNNNNNNNNNNNNNNNNNNNNNNNNNNNNNNNNNNNNNNNNNNNNNNNNNNNNNNNNNNNNNNNNNNNNNNNNNNNNNNNNNNNNNNNNNNNNNNNNNNNNNNNNNNNNNNNNNNNNNNNNNNNNNNNNNNNNNNNNNNNNNNNNNNNNNNNNNNNNNNNNNNNNNNNNNNNNNNNNNNNNNNNNNNNNNNNNNNNNNNNNNNNNNNNNNNNNNNNNNNNNNNNNNNNNNNNNNNNNNNNNNNNNNNNNNNNNNNNNNNNNNNNNNNNNNNNNNNNNNNNNNNNNNNNNNNNNNNNNNNNNNNNNNNNNNNNNNNNNNNNNNNNNNNNNNNNNNNNNNNNNNNNNNNNNNNNNNNNNAUCUUUAAUCAAAUUAUAUAACUGUAUCAUUUGAUUAUAUCAUAUAUAAAAAUUCAUAAAAAUAAAAUAAUUAAACAUAAACAAUAUGAUUGAAUAUAAUUGAAUUUUUAUUGCGUAGUGUAUCUCCGAGUAAUGUUUACCGAUUUGGUUAUACUCUGCAUAAUUUUCAAUAUUAAUAUCAAAAAUAAAAUAAGCAUAUCAAAAUUAAUGCCGUUGGAUUCAAAAUAUUAUAAUAAAUAAUAUUUGUGAAAAUAACAACAUAUUUUAAAUAAUACAUAAAAAUUUAUGUAAGAAAAAUAAAAUUGAGGGGAAAAAAUAUAUGAAAGUUAUGAGAGAAAAAUAUAAUUGAUAGGAUAGAAAAAAAAUAGAGCCAAUCAAAUUUAAUGAAAGCAUAACAUGUCAAAUAAUUUCAACUAUAUUCCUAUAUAUAUUACUAUCUAUAUAUCGUAUUCAAUUCACUUCACAACAGCGGGGAACAGCAGGUAUUUGGAACACAAAUCAAAACCCACUAUGUUCGACAACAAAAAUCCAAAGCAGAAUAGGAAAGAUAAAACAAACACAGAUGGAAUUACAAGGUCUUGUGAUUAUAAACACAUGGAUUUUUCUCUAGUAGUAGUUAACAUUUGCAGGUCGUCGAAAAGGCAAAGUUACAAUCAAUCUUCUUCCUCUUGCUCUUGCUCUUCCUCGAGAAGCUUGUAGCUGCUGAAAUGCUUAACCCGGAACUUCCAUUCUCCUUUCACUGCAUCGUACGAGACAAACUCGGCAUCUUGCUCUUCUGUCUUCUUCUUCAGAGUUUCCUUGUACCUCUCCACCCUCUUCCCUUCUGUAAAUUCCUUCUUGGUCUUUUUAUCAACGCACUUGAUGUUGAGAAGAGUUACCUCAGCAGGCUUAUUGAGACCUUGUCCAAUCGGGGGUUUCUCGUGAUGGUCAUCCAUAUAGACGAUCACUUCCCGGGUGUUGAAAUGAACCACAGAAUCCAGGUCAAGCCUUCUCACAUCUGUCUCAUCCAAAAACUUGAUGCUUCCAAACCCUCGUCGUCCAACCACAAAGUCCUUCACACGCCGGCAAAAUCCGGGUUCUGCCCUUUCCUUGGCCGCCAGUUCUUGAAUCCGGGGCUCUGUAUAGUAAUCCGCACGACGUAGCUUUGGCAUUAGUGCCUCAAUGUCUGCCCCAUGCUCGUAAACAAUUGCCGCUUCUCCAGCUCUGUGACCACUAAAUCUCAUGUACGAUUCAUCUUUCUGACUGGAAUGAUCUCCGUGAACUCCGUUGUUGAGCUUCUGGCCCUGUUUCACUUCCUUGCUGCCAAUACCAUUUUCAGCCGGGUUCUCUGCAUCAAAUAGAAAUGAACAUCAUUUUACUACAUGAAAUCAGGAACAUGUAUUUCAAUACAAGAUCAAAACAAUCAAUCAAAGAAUGUAAGACCAUUUGAUUCCCCAUCAAACAGCAUUUCAUCCAAAAACAUAAAUCAUAGAUCUUUAUCAUCAUCGGGGAUUUGCUCAAGUAGAAAGAGGUAAAAUACCACGAAAGAACCUUACCAAAAAAAUCAAAUGACAAGGGAGCACAUGAACUAAGAAGAAAGAAAUAAACAGAGAUAAAGAAUAUGUUCUUACUAGCUUUGCCGUUGGGCUUGGUACCAUUUACGGAAGGAACACCCUCUCCAUUCAUCGCUUCUAAGACUUUCCCUGGAUAUGGAUAUUUGUCAGACUAUAAUGGACAGAAAACACAAGAACCGACAGAGACUCGGAGUAGAAUCAUAAAUUACAAUGUACAAAGUAAACAUUUCAAUUCUGGUGUCCACGAGAGGAAGAGAGGAGGGAGGAGUCAGAAACUUGCCAUUCUGAUUUACAUCCUUAAUAGGAGAUCCUUUGUCUGCAUUAGCUCUUAACGGCCACUGGUCAACAGGGUGAAUCACUAGAGCUCUUGGGUUCUCCCUGGGAACGAAGAGAGCAUCUGCUUUUGGCGUGCUUGGUGAUUCUUCCUCAUCGCUGAAAAAUGGUACCUGAAAGUAGUCGUUUAUACCAAGAAAAUGAGUUGACAAAAAUUUGAAAAUCCUCGCAAAUGGAAUUAAUCUGAGGAUGCGCAAGUUCCAGCUUUUUUUUGUAGCACAAAUUACCUUGGGACCAUCAUGUUUGGGGUAAUAUUUCCUGGCAGGCAUCUUCAUCCGCCUUUGUAGUAGGUGCCGAGAGGUCAAUAAGGAGGAUACUCUUACAGGUGCAGGUUUGUCAACCACCUGGUACCAGAGAACAUGGUCCGUACAAAGAAAUAAUGUAUAACAAGUGGAGAUCAAACAACAAAAACGAAAAAUGUAAAUGUACAGCCUAACCAGAACAGGUAAUAUGAAUAAGCAAUCAGAUACGAUAGAUAAACAAACGCUUACAGGCAAGCUAGAGAUCCCGUACUGAACAGAAGGUGUAGUUCCAGCUCGCGCUAUUGAAAUUUGUGGCAUUACUGGGAGUGUACCAAAAGGAUUGGUCACAGGUACUUGAAGUACACCGACAGAAUUCUGUAUGGCAGGCCUGCAAUAGCAAACAGAAGAGAACCAUUAACAACAUAUUAUAGUGGAGGAACAAAAUCAUCGCUGCAAUUUCCAGUAGAUGUACAAGGAAAAAAUAGAUUUAUUGUAAAAGAAACCAGUUCUUAGCACAUCGCAGAAGCAAACGCAUGCAGCACACAAGAUAAUCAUAAUAGGUUUACAGAUAAAUUAAGAGCAAGAGAGAGACAUACUGCUGUCCCAAAAUGUUCUGACCAAAUGCACUAGUAAAGCCACUUGUACCACCUGCAGUAAGAGAAACUUAACCAUCAAUUUUUUUUAUCAAUCACCAGCUAAAAACUUUACUGGAAGUGAAGGGAUAAAAUAGAGGAGUGGGGACGACAAACAAGUAAACAUUCAUAUAAAAAUUCAAGUACCUGCUUGGGCUGUACCAAAAUUCAUAAAGCUAGGUUGAGGCUGUUGAAAAGGUGCUGCGGUGGAGGCCUGCGUAUAGAAACGAUUAGCCGUAUGUACCAAAACAAAAAACCUACAAAUCUAGAACUCACAGUUAAGCGACGCAAGAACCAAGUACAAAACUUGCUAUAAACAAUUAAUGCCCAAAAGAGACUGAAAAAUAAUAGGAACCAUAUCGAAUUUCAAAUGUCAUGGACUCAUGGCUACUCAGUCACUUCUCAACCAGAAAAUUAUUGUCUGGCGCAUAUAGACGGGCAAUAUUUACUCAUUACAAGGAAAGAGACCAAACAAAGGAUAUUCAGGGUUACUGACCGACGUCUGACCAAACCCUCCAGUGUUAGAGGAAGGAAAUAAAGAUGUGUUUGAGAAAAGGCCACCACUUUGUGAAGUCGCCGGUGUAUUGAAAAUGUUUGACUGGCCAAAAGGAGAGGCAGAAUUCAGUCCAAUGGAAGAGGCAGUUUGUGGGAAUAAAGAGGUUUGUCCAAGUGAAGGAGUAGUCGACUGAAACGGAGAAGAACUGCUGGGGAAGCCCAUGCUGGGAUUAAAUGUGGAAGUUGUUCCUUGGGCAGUAGAAGAAAACAAGGAAGGCGUGGAACCAAAAGUUGAUGUGCUUGAUGUGCCAAACAAAGAUGGAGAAGUGGUGCCAAAUCCACCAGUUGAUGUGGAAGGAAAUGAUGUCGACUGGAAAGGGUUGGCAUUCGUUGAAGUUCCAAAAGGGGAAGAAUUGAAAGUUGAGGUUGGCGAUUGUCCAAAAGGCUUUGGAGCAAAUGGAUUGGAUGGGGUCGAAGCAGAAAAGGGAUUCGCAGAUGAUUGAGGAAAUGCAGAUGAAGAACCAAAUGGGUUUGACUGUGCUGCUGGUGCACUAAAAUUGAUUCCCGCAGAAGGUUGACCUGAGGCCUGAGGUCCACCUGCAAAACAAUAUAUGAAAGUUAGAUGCAGAAAUUGAUAACAAUAUAUACCAACCAAAAGUGUAAACUAUUAUGGAAUGUUUAUCACCUUUAUCUCCCAAUUGAUAAUCCUCCCAUCUCAGCUCCUCAUGGCUCUUUUCUUUAUAGGCAGGCAUGGCUGAUAUUGACUCCAACUUCCCCGGCUGCCCCCCUUGACCAGUGCUGUCUGUGUCAGCAGUAGUUGUAUACGGUACAGCUCGACUUCCACCUUUCUGUGCUCCAAAUUGUGUUUGGCCAAAGCCUGAGCUUCCAAAUGUUGGUGUUGUAGCCUGGGCACCUGAUCACGCCAAAUAGGACAAAUAAAACAUCAUCUAUUAGCUAAUAAAAUUGCAAACAACUUUUACGGACUUGAAUAGAAAAAUCUAUGGAUUGAGUUUCAAGUGACCCACCAAAUGCAGAACUCUGAGCUCCAAAAGGGCUGCUUCCAAACGCAGAAGUUGACUGACCAAAUGCAGAAGUUGAUGCAAAGCUAAAUGAUGGAGAACUAGAUGCCCCAAAAGUUUGAGUAUUUGAAGCCCCAAAUGCAGGAGAGCUUGCAGCUCCAAAUGCUUGAGUGCUUGCAGCACCGAAAGAUGGAGUAGAUGAUCCAAAAACAGAAGUAUUUGAUGUUCCAAAAGCUGGGGUAUUAGACACACCAAAGGCUGAUCCUGUGCUACCAAAGGCUGGGCUUGCUGUCGAUCCAAAUGCUGGGGUGCUUGUCGCACCAAAUGACGGAGUACUUGCAGCGCCAAAUGCUGGGGUGCUUGUGGAACCAAAGGCAGGGGUGCUUGUUGUACCAAAUGCAGGCGUGCUAGUAGCACCGAAACCAGACUGAGAUGCAGCACCAAAUGUAGUUGAUGUACCAAACAAACUGCUACCAAAAGCAGGCUGGGAUUGCUGGUUUGUGCUUCCAAACGGAGUCGGAGUAGUACUGGACCCAAAACCUCCAAAAGCAGGCUUUUGACCGAAGGCAGAUGACCCUACAUAAAAACAACUGAUUGUCAUAACUUGCAACACCGUAUAGAAUAAUGCAAAACUUCAUUUUCAGCCCAAUGCGAACGGGACGUCUUGAAAGACCAAAAGUAUAAAACUAACGAAAAAGCAAUAAGGCUUUAGUCUGACACAUAAGUUUAUCACUAUUACUUUGCGUAUGAUUCAGAAAGAGGGAAACACGGAUAGGAUAUCAAUGAAUAGUGGACUUAAAGGCACAGACAAACUAAGAAACGAAAUCAGCAAGAAGCAAGAAACAUAUUUAAUCCACCAACAUGUUAAGCCACAAAGAUAGAAAGCAAUAGGCUACAGAUGCAAAAAAGUGCUAAAUAUUACAGCCCGGGAAUGAGAGGACACAACUGGAAUGGACUAGCACCAAAACACACUUACCACCAAAGGUUGAGGGGGAACUAUUGAAAGCAGGAGUGCUAGAUGCUCCAAAAGCAGGCAUUGAGCUUCCAAAAGCAGGUGAUGACGAGGCCCCAAAUGUUGUUGUAGAUGGGAAAGGUGAAGAAGCUUGCGGUGCACCAAACAUACCUGUUGAAGUUCCCCCAAAUAAGGAGCUUCCCGUUUGGGAACCAAAAGGGGUUGGACUCCCAAAAGGUUUAGAUGCAAAAGGGUUAUUGGCUGGAGCAGCUGUCUGGCCGAAUCCUGAUGACCCAAAAGGGUUACUAGGUGUCUGUCCAAAAGCUGGUAAAAUAUGGAGAUCAUUAAAAUGUGUCAACAAAAAGGAGUAGGCAACUAGCCGUACUAAUCGGCUUUAAUACCAGACAUGAAAAACGAAAAAUACUAUUUCCACUGCAACUGAACUCAGCAUAUACAUGUUACUCAACAAGUUCAAUCUGCAAUUAUCUUCCAGGUUGAGCUGGGAAGCCAACACGCCAUCUCAUAACUGGCGUUGUGGCAUCGACAGAAAUCAUGCAAAGCAACAAUCAUGAAGGCGGAGAGUACCCUCAUCCAAAACAUAGAAACGAACUGUCAAUAAACACCAAUACGCUAUGUCUGCUUCAACAACAUUACUCCAUGGGUAACGACCAGCCGGUACAUGUUCAAUAAUAUUAAAUUUGUUCCUAAUAAGAAAUCAUGCACCAAUAUUCGCAGACAUAGAAAUUGAUGGAGAGGAAAACUCGGUACGUACAACGAAGUGUCAAUAAAGAGACUAUGAAAUUCAUGGCAUGCUAGUCCCCAGGCAAAACAACAAGGAAACGAAGCAAGGAUCGCAGAAAACUUACGAUUCGGAGAGCCAAACAUCCUUCGUCGAAAUAGAUUGCACAGACUCGGAAACGAUUGAAGCACGCUGCCUGAAGGGAAGACAAAAUAUAUAUGGAAUCAAUCGCACUAACUCGAGGAGAAGAAUAAUCAAGAUCCGCAACUAGUCACAAAACUAUGCGCAGAAAUCAAAUGAGUAGUAAAUCCGAAUCAAUGAAGAACUCAGUACAGGCGAAACAUAAGAUUAGAGAAGUUGUCCAUCCUAGGGUUUUCGAACAGUUACCUCCGAAAGAGAAAGAUACAGCGAGUGAGGGAGAAGCGAGAUGAGUUUGGAUCGGAACGGAGGGUUGUGAGAGAAGCAGAACUCGACCAGAAUGGGACGAGGGGAAAUGAACGGGAGGGGUGCGUCGGAAUCCUCCACCUGCCAGAGAGACUCUCUCCCAAACAAACGCACAGAAUCACAAUAAAACAAAUGCCUGCCCUUAUGGCCUCCCCAUUUUAUUUGGAGAAGAUCAGAAAACAGAAGAGAUGACGGAAGCCGCGCCGCGUCGCGUACUCUUGAAGUCAAGCUUCCCUAGUACUAGUAGCGUUGGUUUGAAGUCCAGUCCUAUGCGAGCCGAGCCGAGCCGCAUCGUGUUGAAGUCCCGGCUCAUAAUAGUUUCGUAGUUCAGAAAUAUAUGUUCCGCUUUCAAAUACCCACUAGAUUGCUCUAGUGGGAUCAUAAAUUUCCCUAGGGUCUUUCUACUUCUAUUAUUCAAAUUGAUUUACUAAUUAGACCAAGUAACAGUUUAAAAUUGUUUUUAAGUAACCAAUUAAUAUCUAAAAAUGAAAAUCAAAGGAAAAAAAAUUCAAGAGAUUGAGUUUCAAGUAGGAAUAAGGGUUGCUCGGAUUUGAAUCCACUAAAGCUAGAAUGCAUGGAUGAAAGACAAGUUAUCUCGAUUAUUCAGGUUAUAACGGUUUGAAAACUUCCUAUGGUAGUCUUGGAUCACUCUCGCGCAUCUGAGGAUCUAUUUCACUUAAACGUAGACUCCUCUCUCGAGCUAAUCUACACCUAAACAAAAGACAUUAAAAGUGUUCGAUAAGAUGCCACAACGAUAAACGGUGCAAAAAGGCUAAACGAUUCGCUCCUCUCCUGAGCUAACGAAUAAUCUAGGAUUCUUCCUUAGUGACCUCUCAAUCUAUGUUUCAUGGACCCACAAAUCAAUGCCGAUGAUUCAAUCAAGACGGCCAGACUAAAUUGAAUCAAAAAUUAGGUUUUAGGAAGAACGCAUCAUAAGUCUGAAAAACCUCUAUAACAAAUCAUGGGGUUAAAACCCCAUCAUCCAUACAAAAGUUUGGCUAAAACUUCAUCUCAUCCGAACAACACGAAAAGUUUAGCUACUCAUGGUUCGGGAAGUAAGAAGGAAAGAAGAAAGGAGAACAACCCGGAAAGACAACAUGUUUCGUCAAGAAUUCUAAAUCCUGUCGCCGAUCUUCACUCUUUCGCCAAUCGAUGAUGUUCUCUCACGUCAAUCAGUCUCCGGAACUCUCUCUCUCUCUCUCUCUUUCUCUCUCUAAGAGCUCGAAAAUAUGUCUAAAAUGAAUGAUAUGGAACCCAGCUCUCUCCAAGAGCUCGAAAAAUAUGUGUAUAUUCAGUAUAUCUUGUCCAUAGGGGGUAUCGGGGGUAUUUAUUGGCUUCUGGGCCAAGUUGGAGAAGGAAAAAGACUUAAAACCCGUCUGGGGGUGGGACAUGCCGUGCUCCAUAAGGAACACGUCAUGUUCCCGGCCGUGUUCUGCCCCUAUAAGUUUCUCGGGCAAUUCUAGAGGAGGAACACGCCGUGUUCCUUCAUUAUACGGAAUUUGACCUUGGCGUCAACGUAAAAGUUGUAGACAAUCAAAUUAUCUUUCCAACAUCGCUGACCUUGCAUCAAUUGGACUUCCGAGAGAUGCAUUAUGCUCAAAAUACUAAACAUUGAUGCUUUCUUCCAAAGUCGAACGUUUUGAGUUGUUCCGGCCUCCCCGUCGUGUCUUGGUUUAUCUCUAAACGUCAUAUGACACCUGAAAUGUACCAAAAACAUACCAAACAGCAUAACACGGCACCGGGGCCAUGAGAACCAAACAUGUGCUAAAAGUCAUGAGUUUGAAUAUGUUUCGACACACAAAAAUAUAGUUUACGACCCGGAAAAGUGUGUCGAAAAUUUAGCACAUCAGGAAAUCAGGUGCUAUGGGUGGUGCAACAGUGGUCUCGAAAUCGGAGUUGGAGAAAUAUCUAGCAGAUGAAGAGGAGUCUAUAGAGCUGCAAGGAGUUAGGGAUGUAGAGUUUAAUAUUUUGGAAUGGUGGAGUAGCAUCGGGGGGAGGGGGGGAAUAUCCUAUUCUUUCUGAGAUUGCAAGAGAUGUCCUUGUUGUCCCAGUAACUACAGUUGCAUAUGAGUCUACAUUCACCGGAGGUAGAGCGUUAGAUACAUUUAGAACUUCCCUUACCCCGAAAAUUGUUGAAGCAUUAAUUUGUAGUGAAGAUUGGUUGAAAUAUAAUACUACCUCAAAUACAAGAUGAGGAAGAUAUAGAGUAGCAUAUUGAAUUUGAGAAAGGUAUGUAUAAUAUGUCAUAAUGUUUCUGUUUAUGAACAAUAGUUUAAUACUCUGUUGAACAUCCUCUCCCACAUUAUGAACAACGAACUAAUGUUUGCGUUUGUCUAAUUCAAUUAGUUUAUGCAACCUUUGAACAAUUGAAUAUCGAUUCACCACCACUUGGAAGUCUAAAAGGAAGUGCAAAUGGCAAUACAAUGGACACAGGAGAUGAUGAUGAUGAUUUGAAUGUCAUUCAGUUUAUGCAGCCUUGUUAUCGCCUACUGGAUUUGGAUGUCUUUCCUUUUGUUUUCGGGUAUGUACUAUGAUGGAUUUUGGAUUGAUAGAUGGUGUGGUUGAACACUUGAACCUUUGUGUUGGAAGCUAUUAUUAGAUUUUAUGUGCAAGUAAUAUUAGAAACUGAAGUGUGGAUACCCGAAAUAAAGUGAAAUGCUGCUGAAAAGUUUCCAUAAUUUUUGGUAUUUUUGGUAGUAUCGGUUCAAAUUUGGUUUUUGGUGGCCAGUUAGCACAAAAAAAUCCUUCAAUUCGGUAAUUAUCGAUACCGAACCGAAAAUUUCGGUUUCGGUAAUGGUAAUUAUCAAAAAUAUUUCGGUACGGUAAUGGUUAUCAUUUUGGAUAUAAAUUCGGUCUUCGGUAUUUCGGUAAUGGUGCGGCAAUACCGUUACCGUACCGAAUUCCACUCCUAAAUUGGACCAUUGUAGCCUUUCAAUGACAUCUGCGGUAGGGUUCAUAAUUGAUCAUUAAGAGAAGAAGACAAUAAAGAAAGGAAGAACAGCGUAGUCUUUGUAAGCUGGGUAGGACUCGUGCUCCCAAUCAACGGAUUUCAGAAGGUCCAUGACACCCAUCUCCCGGAAGAAGAAGGAGAAGAAUCAGCUGUCCACCAAGUUUCGAACUUUCCGUGAGGAGAAUCAAUAGAGCAGGUGGGUUGUUGCAGUGAAGAACAGGAAUCACCGAUUCUCCGCCGUUGGCCUCCGAAUCUUGGGAGGAAAAAAAUGGAGGCGGAUGUAAAAAAGAUGCUAUUUAGCACCUUCAGCUUCCCGUCAAAUUGUUGGACGCCAGACCGAUGAAAACCUCACUUUCCACAUCCCGGUACGCCACAGCCGCUGCCGGUUCUCCCAGACCUCGAUCUGGGGCCCGCCCUGUGGGUCGACGGCCAUCGUAAAUUUAUCAGGAUAAGGAUCGUCCUCCCAUCGCCACGAGUAGAAGGUGGUUGUCAUCAGUUUGGCCGUAGAACGCGGAGGAAGAAGUUGUGUCGACGGGGAAGAAUAGAGACACCACAAUAACUCAGCUGGGUCCGAAUAACCCCACUUGAAGAAUAGAGAAGUUACCGGCGGAAGGGAUGGACGGUGGUGGAAGUAGCAACUUGGAAGGAAAUUGCUGAAAACCUUGUUGGUCUUCCACAACGUGGGGAAGUCCAGUUGCUGCCGUAGCUUUCGAGAUUGAGUCGAAGGAGAGGGGGAGAUUGAGUCGAAGACCAAAUCUUCCUCGAAAGAGCUUCUUACUCCUAAUGCAUCAUCCAAAAUGUAUCUGAUGAUUUCCGAACAAAAACCGAAAUCAAAAUCCUUAGCAAUGGAAGUUUAGAAAAGAGUGAUGAUCACUGAUGCUAUCCAAAGCAACUAACCUUUUGACAGCUCCAUUGCUUUACCUCUCCACUAAAAUAGACUGUUUCUUCCGGCAUCUAUCGCUGUUCAAAGCAGUGUAAAAAAACAUUCGUCAACUGUUUCCUACUACGAACCUCUGAGCAAGGCUAUCAGGAGAGGCAUUUGGAAUUCCUCACCUCUCGUCUUCGGAAUCUUGAGGAUUGGACUGUGCACAGGAAAAUCGGAAGCGACGAGCUCUCCUACUCCGGCUGCUGCUCGUCGUCGUCGACGAUUCGAAUGCACAGUUAGGAAACGAGAGCCUCAGGGAAUGAGUCAUGCCUGUGGAGAGUUGAAGGUGAUGAUGAAAUGGAAUGAUGAUUAUCUUCUUCCUCGGCUUGAUGCUGUGCUGGUGGUUUGCAAGCAACUGUAUCAGCUAAAUCCUCGACUGGACUUGAGGAGAAGAGGAGUUGAGUUGCCUUCCGUUCAAUCAUCCAGUUGUACGGGUUGUGGUUCCGGUUGCCCGACCAACCCGGAUCGAAUUGGGUCGGCCCACCAACAAUAGAAGCCCAAAGCUGUUUGAACGAUAGAGCACAUCAUAUUUUCAUAGAUUUACGUACUUGAUGGUUACAUAUGAAUUUCUAUUUCAGUUUUUCAUUGACUAGGAACCAAAGGCUUGGUCAACCGGUCAUUAUUUUCUAGUUUUGGUUAGUGCUAAAUAAAAAAACCGAAACCAAUCCCGAGCCAAUUAGGACGAAAGUCGAAGCCAAGAAUGCCGGCCUCAUUAGAUCAAUUUGAGUACAUAUGGUGUGUUACAGACAUCGCCUAAUCAAACUUACUAAACCAUGCUUUCAAGUUUCACCUAACUAUCACAGUGCCAAAAAAAUCAGUGCCCCCGUUUGUUUCCUUGAGCUACAAGCAAGGCCGCAAAAUCGCCAGUAAUAGCUACAAAAUCGUCCAAACAUUUGAGGUUUACUGAGUCAAAUGUUAGAGCAGGGCUAGCUAUGUGGUGUAACUAGUUACAAACUAUACUAAUUAUGAAAUUCGCUCGUCAAAGGCAUGCAGGCUGAUUACAAGGGGGUUCUCUGCUACACUUGUCAGACGACAUCCAGUCUUCACAAGGGGGGUUAUCUUCUGUUGCAAUCUCAGCAGCGACCUUGGAUUUCUGCACAACCUCGCAUUUGCCUUCACAAGGAGGCUUCUCUUCUGUUACAACCUCAACAACGACCUUGGGUUUCUGCACAACCUCGCCUUUUCUUACACAAGGGGGCUUCUCUUCUGUUACAACCUCAGCAGUGACCUUGGGUUUCUGCACAACCUCGCCUUUGCCUUUAACAGAUGGUGUUGAUGAUGAAGAUGUUGGAGGUGCACGGCGGUAGACAUUAGAAAGCACUAGUACUGAACGAUGUUGCUGUGGUGGCGGUGUAUCUCCAUGAACAAAUCGACAAGGGUCUUUGUUGCAUUUGCCCUUUUUCCAGAAGUGGCACACGGUCGUACACUUCACGCGUUGGUACACAUUCGUAGUCCUGGUUUACAAAAAUAAGAAUCUCUUACUUUGAUUAUAAGUCAAAUAUAUCAACUUUUAAGUUUAAUUAUGAAAACUGAUGGGUACACGCUCGAUUGGAUCAUAAAGUCUUAAAUCCUAACUACAAUGUUCAUUUUGAUGGACACAUGUUCAUUUUGAUUGACACAACUAAUAGGGGCGAGUCCUUCGAUAUAUCUGGCAUAUCAAAAUUUUCAUUACGCUCAUUUUUUAGCGGGUAAUGUAAAUAACAAUAAUUUUAAAACUUAAUUAAACAUGUUAACGUAGUCACAAAAUUUAGUUUUAACUUACAAAUUAAUUUUGGUUUAGAAAGUUGAUGGAAAUCUUUACUUCACCUUUGUUUCUUUUUACAAAGGCAUUAUAUUUUUAUGAUUGUUAUAUGGCUCCCAGCUGCACGCUAAUCAAUUGAGUUUGAGGUCUCGAAUCGAGGGGCAAUACGAAAUAAAAUAAAAUAUUCAUAGACGAGUUAAUUAAUUAAUUUAUGGGCCGAAUUCAUUACAAAACUUUCGAUUGUGACCACAAAACUGUAGAUGCAAUAAUCCAUCAAAUUAUACAUAUCACAUGUGAGAGAGUACGUAUAGGCCAAAUGGUGGAUUAAUUGUCACAUAGGAACAGGGUUGACGUGGCCAACAUCGUCAUAAUCGUUAUGCCAGCUCAGAAACUAACGAAGAGAGACUGUGUCAUAUCAAACUUUGCGUAGAGACACGCCACUAAGUUUUAAGGAUACCAACAAAUUAAAUCUGGUAGUUUUUCUCACAAAAAUAACAAAAAAAAUUAAAAAAUUGAACGAACCGAGGGGGAGUCCAAUCCGUGGAGUAGUGAGUGAUAUGGUUUUGGAUCCGAUUCAGGAAGGCGGUACAAAUCUCAACCGUCUAAAAAUUGUUUAUUAAAUUUAAUGGUUGAGAAUACGAGGAUAAAAUUGAUAUUUCGUAGCCAUAUGAAUGAGUAUGCUACUUAGUACCAUGUAAUACUUAGUAUUACACUUUGUACAAAAGCCAUACGAAUGUGUAUAUACUUUUGUACGGGUUUUACAAACAUUUUUAUGUGUACCAUUGUCGGUACAAAGUUGUAUGGCCGGUCGUCGGAACUUUUUUCCCCAGGAAUGUAGAGCCGACGACGGUGAUCACGUGGAUGCAAAUAAAUUCGUCAACGGAAAUCUGAAUCGCCGAAAAAUUGAUCUGGAAAUUUUUCGAUGACCGAAAAACGAUAAUCCGAAGGGGGUAUAAUGCGAGUCAUUUGUCUUCUUAUUUUUGACAAGUUCGCUUUGGUGUUUAGUUUAACCUAAAUACGUAUAAUUAAAUCUCAUUUUCAAUUUUUAAUCUCAUAUGUAUGGUCGUCGAUAUCAACAACACGGCCUGCAUCAACAUUGAAAGCAAGCUGCUGAUGUUGGCCACUUGGUUGUCUCCAUCGGAUGUAACGAUUAUUAUUAAAAUACAAAACAAAAAUAAAAACUCAAAUUACAUCUCCGAAUAAUCGAAUAUAAAGAAGACUACAAUCCUAAGCACCUUAUUAAUUCCCCUGAAUCACAAAAAUUAAAAACAUCGAUAUUAGUUAUACCGUUAAUAACUCAUACAUGGGGGCACCAGCGCUAGGAGAAGGUAUGAAAGGGAAGAACAAGAAGUCUUCCGGCAGAGGACACCACAGGUUCGUCGGAGUUAGGCAGAGGCCUUCGGGAAGAUGGGUGGCGGAGAUCAAGGAUUCUCUUCAGAAAGUUCGCCUGUGGCUCGGGACUUUCGACACGGCCGAGGACGCUGCCCGAGCCUACGAUGACGCGGCUCGGGCUUUGCGUGGCGACAACGCCCGAACCAAUUUCGAAUUGCCUCACCCUGCUGCCGGAGGCGGCCGGGGAGGGCUUUCCGACAACAUCGAGCCUUUCUCGUUUGAGGAGGUUUGUGGGACCGGGAGUGAGGCUGCUGACGGGAUUCUCGGUGCCCUCAAGGCUAAGCUUCUCGACGGGAAAGGUCUCCGGCUUAAUAACAACAACAGCGUGGGUGCCAGCUCAUCAGGUGUGCAAUUACCAAUCAACCAUCGCGGGGGUAAAGACAAGGGUACCGUUGAAAACGGCAACGAGGGUAAAAAGGUAAAUAAUAACCCGACGACUCAGGUUGGUAGACCACCGAAGCCUCCUCCGAAACCCAGCCAGGACGCUCGGAUAGAUGGCAUGGAUCAUCAUGCCAUGCUGAGACAUCAAAAUCAUCAUCAUCAACAACAGCAACAACAACAACAAGAGAAUUACCAAAUUUCCCAACCUGAUCAUCACCACCAGUCCAAUGUUAAUCCUCAAUACCAUCAAGAAAUUGAUCAAGCAGGAGUACUGAAUCUCAACGAUUCGAAUUAUUGGGAGAGGUCCAAAGCUGGGGUGUCUCCAUGGCACGCGAUCGCCGCAGCUACAGCGAACAAUAACGGAGAAUGGACCGACCAUAAUCAACAACCACCGGCAGCUGUCACAUCAUAUGAGGAUCAUCAAAUGGUGGAUCAGUGGCCACAUCAGCACCACCACAAUGUUAAUUCAAUAGACACGGCGGCUGCGAAUUUGUUCACCACCACGUGCUCGACGUGGCCGACGUCGAUUCACGACCAAUCGGGGAUUCCGUCUUCGCCGUCGUACAUGAAUUCCGGCAUAAAUGUAGCGACGACGAGCAACGUCAACGUUAAUCAUCAUCAUCAUAACCAAGGAGGAUGGACGCCGUCAUUGACGGAGCAACAGUUUAUGCAAACGGAAAUGGGUAAUACUGGAUGGACGCCUCCACCUCAGAUUGGUGGUGGUUCCGGUUGGGACCCGCUUCUCUACGUGUCCUCGGUGCUAGGCUGACAACUGUAGCCAGCCUUGGGAUCAUCGUCCACGUCAUCAUCAUUCUUAACUAUACAUACAGUACACGUGGAUUGGAUUGCGUUGACGAUGAUGAUAUGUUAAUCUAUAUGGAUGUCUUUUUUGUUUUCUUUUAUGGAAGAUGGAAACUAAUUGAGCGGUAACUUUCUAAUUAACUUUUUAAUUCCCUCAAAAUUCGUAUUAACAGCUUGUAUGAUUGAGAGACCAAUGAAUUUUUAUUUAUUUAUUAUUAUGGAUCUAAACCAAAUGGUACGAGUCAGAUUGAUCGUAACUGCUUUCUUUCCGUUCCUCCCGUUUACACGGGAAGUCAUCUUCGGCCGGCUAACUUCUCUCUUAAUUAAGAUAGAUAGUUCAUUUUUCUAUGUAUUGCAUAAUAUACCAAACAACUUGAACAGCUACAAAGAAGAGUCCCAGUAUCCAAGAGCAAGCAAACAAAAAAACAAAAAUUCAUUCGUUUACUCAAUUGAAGUCGAGUGCGAAUACCUUAAAGAAAAUCCUCAACAGAACGGUAGAUCAAACCUAUAUUAUCACGGUCAAUAAUUUUUCUAUCCUACCACUGGGACACUAAUUUGCAUUAACUUUUUUAAGGGACAAAAGGAAUGAUGCGCAAUAAGAAAUAAAAUUUAAUGGUUACUUACUUCAGCAAUCAACAUCUUUGGGAAAAAAAAAACUUAAAAACAUCUAACACCCCACGGUGACAUACUUGUUUUAACUAUUAAUUAACCUUUACACUUUUCUAACUUGGGAUAAUUCAACGAAUUUUACUAGAAAAUAUAGCUUUAGCGGUCCUCAAAAUUCAUAAACAANNNNNNNNNNNNNUUACUAAUUUAACAAGCCAAUUCGUAAUGUUAUUCAAACUAGUAUUUAUAUAUAUAGUUAAUGAUGUUCGAUUGUUCAAUAAGAAUUAAUUAUUUAAUAUAUCGUAAUCUCUUCUUUUUUAACUUAACCUUAGUUAAACUUAGGUUGAUCUAAGGCAAAAACAUACCUACGUCAGGAUAACCCUUUUUUGAAAAAUUUUAUUCUGAAGAAAGGUAUUUCUUUUUACAAAAAAAAAAUGCCUUUUUUCUAGCACGAUUUUGAAUGAGAGAAAGAAUUGGGGAAUCCUCUUUUCGACUCUGACUCUCCCACUCCAUUCGUUACUUUUCUUUCUGUUACUUCGAAAGUAGCUGCUUCAGCUUCAGUCACUCAAAUUUUCGAUAUUUCCUUUUUAUUUCUCAUCAAAUGAAUGACAUCUUCUUCUUGAAAUCCUAUCUUUAGAAAUUAUUAAAACAUUAUAGAGACGAAGGCGACUUAAAAUUACAAAAUAAUAGAGACAAUUGUUAAAUUUGCUAUACCGUUCAUAUUAACAAUUUUGAUAGUUAAAAAAAUUGGUCAUGAUUUUCACCAAAUCGGUGUCUCGGCGUUGAUUACUUUCGUGACAUCGUCACGGACACACGGUUUCGGAUUGAGCCACUGCGUUAUGUUGCGGAUGCAGAAACAAAAGAAGGGUAAUUAAUUAUAUUGGGCAGAUUUAAUAUUUGGUAGCAAAUUGUAAAUUCCGUGUAAGCAAACUAAAAGUUAACAAGGGUUUCCAAGGAGAUUAGCACUGAUGACAAAGACGACCAAAGUAAUUAACAACUGAAAAUGAGUAGUACACAUUUGGACGAUUCCUUCUGAAUUCAUCCCCCUUACAUUAUCGAUAAAACGAUUAUUAUUAUUUUUUUUUUUUAAAAAUAAUGUAUUAAAAUAACCAGUGUGUGAUGGAGACCUUGUGUGCUGGUCAUUGUAGAAAAUGAAACAAUGAUAUUAUAUAUAUAUAUAUUAUAAUACACACUUUAUUAUUAUGAAACGAAAGGAUUCAAAUUACAAGUGGAGUGAUUCUGAUGAUAUUGUUGUGUGUUUAGUUAGUGAUUCGAAUUAUUCGGACAUUUUAGAAGUUGAGAGUGAGGAAUUUGACAAUGAUGAGAAAAAAAAACGAUAUUGAAGGAUCGACUGAGGUUAUUUUUUUGGAUCGACCAGCUCGGCUAACAUUUGAGCAUGCUCAAGGAUCGAAAGUUUAAGUGGGAUAAGUUUAGUGGGUAGGGUUAUAUGAUUGAUAUAUAGAUUUAAAUGUCCUAGUUCGAAUUAAGUCACACCUUAAUGAACUUAUAGACCUUUGUGCCUCUUCGGGUCCCCUUUCGUAUGGACUCAUCCCCAUCCACAUGUCAUUGACUACUGUGUUAGGUGUUUCCAACAGAUUAUUUGGCAGGUGGACACCAAGGACAAUGCUAAGGUGGUUCUUUCUCGAUAACGGAGCUAGGUCGAUGCACAAACUUCGGAGGUCUUGAUCUCCCAGACUACUUAUCAUCAACUUUAGGUGCAGGUUUUUCAACAAUCUGUUAAUAAAUCUUUCAAAUUGUACGUGUUGAAACCUAAUUUAGUCGAGUAGCAUUGUUUUUUACCGUUUACGUUACUGUGGGGUUGGUCACGUUGACCUAUCGAGUGGCAAGGAUACGAAAUGGCGUUUUCUUUAAUUCCCUGGUUUAAUUUUGCGCUCUUGGCGUGGAGUGCCAGGCGAUAUCUGCUAAACCAAACCCAUCCCUUUAAAUUACAUUUGGGAAACCGAAUAUCAUGAAUUAGUAGCUGAGUUAGUACAUUUUUUUCCCAUCCAAAUUUUAACAUGGUCACAGAUUUUAAAGUGUGGUCAUUGGCUUUAUCUAAACAUAUAGCUUAUUUUAAUGUUACAGUGUGACAUAUGUUGUGCCGCCACAGUUUUCGAAAUUUGAUUUCCCAAUCAAACCGGUUCUGAAAUAAUGUCAUAAUCAUCGAUCGAUAUAUACUUAGUAGCUAGCUAGGAUGAUUAGUUGUCUGAUGAGAGCCCAACAAAUGGUACCUUUCUCCCAGCUGGAAUGGCCGGGGGAGUUACAAUGUUUUGUCUAAUGUGUGGUAACUCAUCAACUUGAGAGGUUGGUGGAGGUUUCAUGCUUUUUUUUCAUGAGGUAGAUACGUCAUGAUUUCGGCAGGCUGGAAGCCCGCGACGAACGUAUAGAUUCGUUGAUGGGAGACGGAUAAUAUUAAAUUCGUAAGUAGCGGGUCGUGGGUGCUGAGAGAAUGUGUACUAAGUUUGUUGACGGACGAUGGGCAAUCCGAAAUCUGUAGGUAAUGUGUCGUGUGACGAAAUGUAUACUAUCCACUCAUUACCCACACGACAGAUUAUCCGUUUGUAGUACGACUGUGCUUGUUAGGGGUAUAUAAAUAAUAAUUUUCAUACAUACCCUAACCCUUAAUGAGAGUUUUAGAAGAAAUUUUGUAACUGACAAUUUUCAUAGAGGAAUCUUUUGGACGAUUGAGUUCUUCGCCGGAAAAUCCUCACGACCCCCAAACCUUUUUCCGCAAUUUCCUUAUGAAAUCUUCCCUUUAUUAUUCACUACAACAAUUUACUUAUAUUCUGGGGUUCCGUUGUCAUGGUUACAUAACUGCACAUAUAUGGCGGAAAUUCGCCUCUGUUUUUGCAUUUGACCAAAACCGCGAAAUCGGUUGCAGGUCGAGUGAGAAAAUUAGCACAACAAUAUUCAACAUGAUGCAGUCUGAUGAAUAUUUUCAGGCGUUAUCAAAAUAAUUCGGUUAAUGAAUUAAUUGAAGUCGAAUCUCUUUAGGGUUUUUUUUUGUCGUGACUACUCAAAGUUUUGUGGUGUAGGUGUCACGAGAAUGAAUCACACAAUUAAAAGAAAAUAAAAAUUGCUUUAAAGUAAAUGGUUGUAAGACUGCACGAUAUAAGGUUAUAAACAAUCAAGGAUGAAACUAUUUAGACUUUAAAUCCCCUAGGUAAUUCAAACUCACAAAUGACAGACAAAUUCAAUGAUUUACACAAAACAAGAUAAAUUCAAUUCACCAUCGCAGUUCUUCUCUGAUCAAAUCACGCCCUUUCGAUCUGCUAAUCUACUACCUUUCUACUAUCCUAGUCCGCUCUUUCGAGACAAAGAUCUGAAAUCCGCUAGGCGACAAAACUAACGAGAACUGCUCACGCGAUGGACUAGUUUAUUCGCUCCCAGAUGAGGGUUAACGUCUGACUAGUUGGUUAAUUUCGGCGUUCUAGAUAUGCAAGCUCUUUCGAGACGAAGACAAAUCUAGCAAGGUUUUAUUCAAGAUAGCUAAGUAAGAACAUAACGAAAUCGAAAUCAAACAUAAAUUGAAAUUGAUCUGACUCGCAUAAAUCGUCAAAUGUAAUCAAAUCAUUCGUUCAUAAGGAUAUACCUAGCGUCAUCUAAUCUAAGCACGAGGAGUUCAACUACUCAUAAUCUAAAAAAAAUUAGAUUCAAAGAAGGAAGACAUUGGAAUUAGGUUUACAAGAAGAAAUUCAAAAAAAACCUAAUUUCGCCGAUUCCCGCCGAAGAACUUGAUUCGACGAUCUUGAUUAUGUCUUCCGAUCCAAACUCCUUGAAGUCGAUGCCUUCUCGUCGCUCCGAAGUCUCUCCACUAUCCUCUGAAUUUUGUCCACAAAAGUCUGUCUUCGAAUGAGGGAGAACCCGGGUAUUUAUAUCGUCUAUUCCCAAUUGGAGAAGGAAAAUUAUUGAGAAAAUUCGUCUUGAGGAGGAACACGCCUUGUUCCUAAAGGACACGUGCGUGCUCUCUAAAAAUCGCUUCUCGGUCCGAAAGUUAUAGAGAAAAGGACACGACGUGUCCUUGAGGAACACGACGUGCCCCAAGGACACGCCGUGUUCUCUAGGGACACGGACGUGCUCCAUGAAAUUAAUUUCUCGGCUGUAACUUCCAGUGAAAGAACACAUGCGUGUUCUUUAGGAACACACCGUGUUCCUCUUGAAUUUUAGCAACCAUCUGCUCCGAGCAACUUAAAUCACGUCUUAGUUCCCGCUUGUCCCCAAACACUGUAUAUCGUCUGAACUUCGUGAUGUAUUCAUUCUUUGAUGCAGUUAGCUCCUCUUUGCACGUCAUACAAUUCCGAAUAGUGCCCCCGCGUCGCAGUGUGUCUGAAAUCGAUCAAAAAACUACGAAACAACAUCAAAUGGACCCCGAACGGGUCCGAGACACUAAAUCGAGAUAGAAGUUAGAAAUUCACGAAACACCCUAAACUUCUACCUAAAACUAUACGAUUAUGCAUGAAAUGUCGCUUUAAUGAGGGCGAUGGACAUGACAAAUUUAGUGUCAUCACAGUCAUUAACAUCCCGUUAGCUAUUUUCUGGUUUAGGGGUUGGGAAACCGCGAGAAGAACAACCACAAGAUUAAUAGGUAAGUAGAAUCGCGGAUCCCAUCUGUUUCCAACUAAUUCAUUCCUUCUCUUUAUCGUCCCUCACACCAUUCAAUCUCAACAACACUAACAUGGUCUUACUGUCGUCCCUCCUGCCUUCUUCAUCGUCCGACCCACCACCCUACUGUUUCCCAUCGGGCUCCGAAAAUCCCCUUCUCCAUAGCGCUGAAAGCUCUAUGUCGUUGAAAUUCGAUUGCGGCUCCCAUCAAAAUUUCCGCAACGGAAAGCCUCUGCUUAGCUUUAAGUUCUUCCUUUCCUCCUCAUAAUUCAUUCUGUUUCUUUUCCACCCGCCCGUCCUACGUAAUGGUUGAAGUAUGUGUUCCAAGGAUAUGGCAAUCUGUCUGCUUUCACUAAUUUCGGCUUGCAUCAAAUUUCAGCGGUUCAUAGCAAAACCAAAAUAGGGAAAUUUGAGAAAAUGAGCAAGAAAGGAAUGAAUAAAGAAAGAAGCAAUAAUAAUUUGAUUGGUUGUGAUUGACAAGUUUGGUUACAUGAACUGAAUAUUUGCGGGGUUUGAUUAUUGGUUUCGCAACUCAAAAUCACGUUAGAAUCCAUCUUCAACAAGUAAUAAAGUAUAAAAGUGUAUAACUUAGGAUGAUUGCGGUAUGUACGCUUGUUCCAUUAUGAAUCUAAAAUUAUAAAUCCGAUACCUACAUGAAAUUGGGAAAUUGAUUAUGUAUUAUCCCAAGAAAUUACAUAACACCACCAUUUUCUCAGUCUUCAAUAAUCAAAUUCUACCUACUUACGAUAAUGUGGUUAGAAAACAUAUAGGAUUCACCACAAUCCUUUUAGCUUUACGUGUUACGGGAAGCCAAACCCAAUUGUAUUCAAGAAUGUUGAGAAUGUGGUAAAGCAAUUAGCAUCAUCUAGCCAUCACAGUGGGCUAGCCCCAAAUAAUGCAAGUAACGCAACACAUCAUUUCAAAAGAUUGUAUAUGAUAGUAGAUAACCUAGCAGUUGCAUAUCUCAAUGUAAGAGAUUACUAGGUUCAAUAAAUUAAAUAACUGGAUAACGUUACGUCAAUGAGUAUGAAUUUUCAAUUUAAAAAAUUAUAGUGACAAGCAAGUCAAAUAUUAAUGAUCAGAUAUUUACAUAAUAAAUUGCUAAGUAUGCAUACCAACAUGACGAAUAAAUAAUAUAAGAAUGUAAAAUAUUAAUUGUAAUUAAGUCAAGUGGUCAUUAAGGAAUUUGAUUUAUCAAAAAUCAUAAAUUCAGUAAAAGGGGCUUAAAUUCAUUCACCAAAACAAUCAGCCAAGAUAAAAUUAUAAUACCGAGAGUAGAGGUACGUCCAGCGACAGUGAAGGUCCGGCGAGGGUCCUGCGCGAGGUAGAGGUACGUCGACAGUACUGCCUGACGAAGGUCCGUGAAGUUUCAUGUUUGUCCUACUAAUAUAUACCGUUGAGAUUUCGUUGGACUGGAGAAAAAAAUCAAAAAAUAGUUUCCUAUCCAAACAACUAGCCCUUAAUUUAUAUUCAUGCACAAUUGAGUUAAUUUAUGAUGGGCGGUGAUAACAUGCAUCCGGUACAAAUGUAAUGUGGCGGAAUAUUAUUGAUUGGUAUUUAUUAAUAAAAAGUAAUGUUAUGUUAAGUUAACACGGAAAUAUAUAAAACAAUACAGCUAGAUCAUCCAAAUUUAUUCAAUUUAAAUCUGUUAUCUUUCCUUCACCGUUACUCAACGAAUUCACAUCCUCCUCCACUAUUGGAUUUGAAUUCACAUGAUUGCUUAACGAAUUCACAUCCUCCUUUACUGUUGGAUUUGAAUUCGAAAACUUUUAAUACUAUUUUUUGCAUCAAACAGCACUAGAACAAAACUCAUGCACUUAAAAUUUCAAAAUGGCUCAUACAUAAUAUCCACUUCCAGGAAUGCUAGCUAGCUGCUUCUGAGUUUUCUCCAAAUUCUUACCUUUAAUUUGAAGUCUGAACUCCAGUUUGAUGUUCUUCUUUUGUUGCAUGGGUUUAAUUUAAAGGAUAUAUACAGAAGAUGAAGUGAAAGUAGUGAAAGAGGAUAGAUGAGUAUCGAUUCAUUAUUCACUAGUUAUAAUUUUGGGUUCGGAUAAUAAUAAUUUCUGAAUCAUCUUUUCGGUUAUUUACAUCAUACUUUACAUGUUGAUGUUCAACCGGUUUUCAAUUAUAACCAUAAAUAAAUAAACUUUUUAUAAAUUUUAAGAACAAAAAUUCACAAACUUUAUUAUUUUUCAAAUGCUUGAACUUUAUAAAUCACUAACCGUUUUCAAAUUAACUAGCUAUUAUACCAUAAACAAUCUCAUUGUAAAAACAUAUUCAAAGGACUUAAAUUGACCGAUUUGAUUUAAUUUCGGGUUUAAAUACUUCAAUAUUUCUCUCUAUUAGUUUCGUUUUUUUGAAGUAUCCGGCUAAUUGCCUAAUUCCAUAUAAAAGGCGGGCCGGGCUGGGCCACGGCAUAGUUGAGCCCAACAUCCAUUAUUAUGUGAAAGGGAGGAAUCCCAGAUCCGGGAAAAGCACGUCUGAAAGUGAUAGAGAGAAUAUAUACGAGUACGAGGAACCAAUUACUACUGCUCAACACACCCUAGUAAUAGUAUUCUUGACUUGGUUGCGUCCAAGAAUCUAAUACCAUGCAUCUUAAUUUCAUUCCUAUAUCAAACAACCUUAAUUAUUGCUUUUGAUAAACAAAGAUAACAACAAACACACCCUUAGUACAAAGCUAAUUGAUCUUGUUCGUUCAAUUACGAGACAUGUGAAAUCAGAUACAUCUCGCGGUAUGCUCGAUUUCCGCCAUCACGAGACAUGUGAAUUAUUAUUGAAUUGGGUUGGAAGCUGCUGAAUCAUGCAACUCUUUGUAUAUUUUGGUUGAGGUUAUAUAUCAUAUGGUGUUUGUACACAUGACAUAAUUAAGGAUCGACAAACUUACCGUUCAUGAGUCUUUUUUUUCUUCGCUUUCUCUCUUCUUUCUUUCCUGUUUGAGCCUUUGUUGCCGCCGACACCUUUUGGUGACCAGCGGCAACACCUUGUUCUUCACAUCUUGUCUUUGCUUUUCUCUUCCUUAUGUUCUUGUUGUCUUUCCCUAAAUGGUUUUUAUCACAUUUUCAUGGUUCUAUGUUCUGAUCUUUCAGAUUCAGAGUUUAGGUUUUGUUCCUCCUCUUAUGGGACUUGUGUUUUUCCCUUUGUGGGCAUGUUUUUCUCCUCUAUUGGAGCCUUCGGUUGCAGAUAUGAUUCUCAGUUUCUUCUUGGAUGUAUAAGGAGCCGUUUUCAGUUGGUUCUCCUCUUCUUUCUUUCCUUUCCUUCUUGUUUUUCCCUUGUGUUGGUAAUCCCGAGUUGUGGGUCUCUUAUGAGCUUGAAAGCCGAUCGAUGAGUCAGUAGCAAAGACGACCUCAAUCGAAGGAAAGUUUCCUUUUAUUCUUCUUCUUGGCAGUGUCGAUGGUGGCUUCCAUGGUGGUUUCCGGAGUUUCUUCCAGAUCGACGACAUCAUCUUCUUCUGUCCGACCGAGGGCUGUACCAAGAGAUGAAGAGAGGCGGCUGCAAUCUUUUGGUGGUUUGAGAUUAAGAAUUGUGCUGUUGUUCUUUGGGCUAGGGUUUUGCUCUCGGGUCUCAUUAGUUUAAUGACAUGUUUUCUUAAUUUCGUUGUCUUUCUUUGGAUUUUGACCCUCCUAUGUAUUUCCUCUUUCAAUAAUAAUAUGUUACUGAUUUGUAAAAAUAAAUUUAUCAUUCGAAAUUUUUUGAAUUCAAAGUAACGAAAAAUAUGUGUUCAAAUUUUGUCGAGUAUACUAUCGAAAACUAACUCCAGUACUCCCUAGAAUCUUCGAUCAUAUGAUGAUUCAGCUCUUAGUAUUACACCCGUGCUACAUUUACUAUAGCCAAAGUCUAAACUAAAUACGCUUGCAAGUGGUGGAGACCAAACUUGACACUAGUCUUUUUUAACAAGAUUUCAUUUCAUACCAAUCAACUACAAACAAGAACAUUACAAGUACAUAGCUUAGCUACUAAUAACGUCUUUCCAAUUAUCCAGAAUGGACCUUGAGCGUGUUGCGCUUGCCACUCAAUUAACCGCAAGGUUGUCACGUCGAGGGGUGAAGACAAUUCGAGUCCACUGACAAUUAAAAACAUAGGGUCAUGAUUUCGGCCAACAUUGCAUUGCGGAGCACUCCCAAGGAAUCAACAUGGAGGGAUUUUUUUUUGUCAAAGGUAACAGGUCUUGUUACGCUAGAUAGAGAUAAAGGAGAUUACAAUGUUGAAGGAAUUACAUGAGUGAGGGGAAACAAAGUGUCAUUAUUUGGGUAAUUAAGAGCCGUACGAGCCACUAAAUGGACAACACUAUUACUCAAACAAGAUACAUGAUGAAGCAAGACUAAAGGAAAGGCCCGUAGUAAAUCUCGGCAUUCUGGAAGAACUUGACCCACCCUAAUGUCCAAAAAAGUGGAAUUGAUGAGGCAAACAACUUCUGCCGAAUCAGAGAAGAUGGAGAAGCUUUCCAGAUACCGAAAUUGAGCAACAUACAAAACUUGUCGAAUUUUCACGAACUCUAGAAGAAGCGGAUCCGUGAAAUGCGGGAAGACCUGUGCUGUCCCAGAAACUAAGGUACCACACGAUCAACGGACUACCAUGCCAAUCGCACCAUAAAAAGGGACUAGAUCAAAGACCUUAAUUGCAGCAUGAACAUGCAUGUUCCAUUCAACUGGCAAAGUAGGUGGGACUGAACAUCCUUGGGAGGAAGAAAAAUGUUGCACCUGCAUCCCGGUUCGCUGUUGCAUAUGCUGGAAAGCCUCCUGCCAUUGAAUCUGAAAUUGUCGGAGGAGUGCAUCGAUAGAGUGCUAGUAGUUAUCAAAGACCACCAUGUUCCUGGACUUCCACGCACGCCACCAUGAAAACAUUAAGUUCGAAGAAUUGUUAGGAUCUGUCUUGUGAAGUCAACGCCAAAGAUUAGAUUAAUGAUCAAGUUCUCGAGAAGAUCGGCGAAAUUAGGAUUUUCAUAAUUUUUUGUGUAAACCUAGAUUCAGUGUCUUCCUCUUCCGAAUUUGAUUUUUCUAUCAAGAUUAUAAGCGGCUAAACUUCUCUUGCUUAGAUUAGAUAACCCUAGGUUAAUUCCUAUGAAUGAAUGAUUUGAUACGUUUGACGAUUUAUGCGAGUUGGAUGGAUUUCAUUGCAUAUUUGAUUUUGUUUCCGAUUUGUUCUUGCCUGAUCAAUUUGAAUUAAAUCUCUGUUAGAUUUGUCUUAGUCCCGCGAGAGCUUGCAUAUCUAGAACGCCGAAAUCAAAUAACUAGGUUAGACGUUAACCGUCAUCCGGGAGCGAAUGAACUAGUCUGUCGUGUGCGUAAUUCUGAAUCGGUAAAUCGCCUAGCAGGUGCUAGAUCUUUGUUUCGAAAGAGCGGACUAGAAUACUAGAUAGGUAGCAAAUUAGUAGACCCGAAAUGGCGUGAUUUGAUUAGUGAAGAAUUGCGACAGUGUAAUGCAUCUAUCUUGUUUUGUUUAAAUCGUGGAAUUUGUCUGUCAUUUGUGAAUUAGCAUUGCCUAGGGGAAUUUGAGAUCUAAGCAGUUUCAUCUUUAAUUCUCUAAACUCUUAUCGUGCAAUCUUGCAACCCAUUUAUUUUAAUGCAAUCUUCAUCUUUCUUUUUGACUGGUUGAUUGAUCCUCGUAGCACCUAAACCCUCAUUCAUUAAUAUUUCGAUUAGUACUAAUUAUAACUUUGAGUAAGAUACUUAAAGAGACCCUAUGGAGAUUCGACCCGGUUAAUAAUUAACCGGUUUAUUUUAAGAACGCAUAAAAACGUUCAUUAAUGGUAGCAGGUGCAAAGAUUGUGGAGAGUAUCCCUGACGAGGGAGCCACCAGUUCCCGACAAGAGUUGUUGUCAUUCCAGCUCCAGGGGCCUAUCCAGGCGAACCCCUUCCAUCAUAGAUGUAGAUAAGGUCGCAGAGACGACGAUCAUGUCUGGAUUUUCGUCCAACAUAUCAUCUGGUAUCAGUCCCAGAUCCAGAGCAUGUGCCGAAAAAUCAGCGACGGUUAAUGGCACUUCUCUCUUUAAUUUCUUUGGAGUAGAGGAUGAAUCGGCCCCAUCUUCAGCAUCUCCAGUCGGAGAGAGCUUUCUCUUCUUAUCCACAAGCAUCAGAUCUUGUAAGCCUGGAAUAGAUAAAUCAAAAGACGAAGAUGAUUGAGCGAGAAGAUUUUGAUAAAACGGUGGAACAAAGCAACCAAAAACAGUUGAGGUACACCAAAAAAGAUAGUUACCAUUGUCUCAAUACGGUUUGAAAGGAGGCCUGCGAGACAGAUGCGUUAGUGAGGGGGGAUACUCAAUGACAAUAGAUAAGGGGGAGUCAAGUACAGAGCAAAGAAACGGAGAAUGAAAGAACCGCGUGAUCUCAGCCGCUGAGAUUUCAGAGGGAGGAUUGGCUAGUGAUGAACUAGUCCCCUGCUCUUCCGGAAUUGCCUUAACAAGCCAGUCGACCGGGACAUAAGUCUGGAAGAUUGCUGGUAGGGGAGCAAGAUACUUAUUCUUUUUGCUUUGAAGUCGAAGCCUCCGUGUAAUUGGGUUUCUCAACCUUAUGACCAUAUGGCUUAGCAUGCAUCCAAUCGUGCCACUCCUAUGGAUUCCACGAAAUAACAGCGGAGUAGGGACAGUGACCAUGCUCAUGCCCGAGCAGACCACAUAUGUAACAGACGUACAAUAUGAACAUCCUCAUACCUUAGUUUGACCCACAUGGGUUUUCCCCCCCCAAAGCGAGCCUGGAUACGGCCUUGCAGACUUCGGAGGAGGUCAAUUUUGACUAUACACUUAACAAAGUGGAGGCCCUGACCAUCGGGACGAGUGGAGAAGACAUCCGCACCAAUCACGGACCCUAAGGGACGGAGCAGACGAAGGCCAAAAGUGCCUGUAUUGCAAUGCUCUGGCAGAUUCUUGAGUUGGAUCGUCAACGGCAUGAAACACAGCCUAUCAAUUAGGUCAUGAGACAGAGUCUCCCAGGCAACCAAAUGCAUAAUUUCACUUUUGAACGUCCAAGGUUGUUUCUCGAAAACACUUGCUCGGUCCGGCUAUGAAGCGAAGACAAAUUGAAUGAGCCCAUGGCUGACCUCGAAGACCUGAAUAGAAUGAGGAUUCAGCCUCCAAGAGCGAGCCAUAGUUUGAAGCACAGAGUGAACCGGUUUCGGCAUCCCCCAGAAAAUUCUGCCGAUGAGACUCUGGUGCGUUUUGGCGCGCACAUCUGUGUCCUCGUCAUCAGAGAAAUCAACAGUGAAAGAACCCUACGGAAUGUUAUCCGGAAUUGGAUUCAUGAUGUCGUGUGAGAAGGAGUAACUAUGAAUGGAGGAAAAAGAGAAAUUAAGGAUCUGGAACAAAUAGCCUAUAAAUAGGAAACCAGAGAUAGCACCUAUGAAAAAAUGAUGAUGUACUGACAGACCGAUAAAAGGUCAAGUAUUGAGAGGGACAACAAAAAUCCUGAAAAAACGACGUCGAGCGGGAUGGUGAAAGAAGGGUGGAAGAGAAGAAAGCGAUGGAGAAAAAUGAAGAGAGAGAACAGAAAAAACGAGAGAGACGCAACUUUUUGUCCAUCGCCAAAAAUCAAACGACAUGGAGGGAAUGACACUCACUCGUCUAUUCCAUCAAAAAGAAAAAUAAUUUUGCAAAAGGCAAAAACAGCAAAAGUCCUCCUUUUUCGUUUCAGGUAAAGAAAAAGCAAAAAUCAAGAAAGUCGAUAGCAUUGCCCGUUGCCGCUGUCGCAACUCGAAAUCGAAAUCGAAAACUGACAGUUCCUAAAAUUAAACAACCUGAACCCUAAUUUUCUCCCACCUCCGCCAUUCCACAAUCCAGUCAAAUUUCUUUCUCCGGUCAAUUUCUUCUUCAUUUCACUCUCCAGUAGACAACCGACGGCGAUGAUUCGGGAGGCCGCCGAUGUCCAUAGACUGCCGCAUUUCUUUCUACCCUCAAAACCUACUCCCACCACCACUCCCUCGACCCCGUGACCGCCGAUGGCUCGACAGCUACUUAGCCACCGCCUUGCUUCUCACCGCUGCUCUCAUCCUUUCCACCGCCGCCUGCCUCUCUCUCGUCUUCUCCAGACCAGCCACCCCUUGUUCCCGCCGCCGCAACCUCCCCGACGGUUUCACAAAAACCACCACCGCCGCCGCCUCUUCCGUCCAGUACCAAUCGCCGCCUCCACUCGCUGGAUUCCCCCGCAACCUCUCGCGUGGUAGUAGUCAAGAUCACUUGACGCUGGAACACUUGGUGUUCGGUAUAGCCGGAUCUUCGCAGCUAUGGGAGCGGCGGAAGGAGUUCAUUCGUCUCUGGUGGCGUCCCGACGAGAUGCGUGGCCACGUUUGGGUCGAAGAGAAGCUCGCCGCCGUUGAAUCGGACGAAUCGCUGCCUCCAAUCAUGGUAUCUGAGGACACGUCGCGUUUUCGUUAUACGCAUCCCUCGGGCCAUCCUUCUGGACUUCGGAUCUCUCGGAUCCUAGCCGAGAGCUUCCGCCUCGGACUCCCCCAUGUACGGUGGUUCGUCCUCGGAGACGACGAUACAAUUUUCAACCCUGAUAAUUUGGUUGCGGUUCUGAGUAAGUAUGAUUCCUCUGAGAUGGUGUAUAUUGGAUCUCCUUCCGAGAGUCAUUCUGCCAACAAUUAUUUCAGCCAUUCCAUGGCCUACGGCGGCGGUGGGAUUGCCAUUAGCCGUCCACUUGCCGCGGCUCUCUCAAACAUUUUAGAUGACUGUAUAGAUAGAUACCAUGGCUUCUACGGCAGCGACGAUCGACUCCAUGCUUGCAUUUCCGAGCUCGGCGUUCCUUUGUCAAGAGAGCAUGGAUUCCACCAGGUACAAAUACAAUGUUGAUUCUUUUGCAUAUUUGAAUUGUUUCAGCUUAACUGUUAAGUUUUCCAUUGCAAACACUUAUUGACAGAAUCACAGUACCAUCCAUCAGAAGCUAUAUGGAAAUUCUUAUCCAAUUCAGUGAUUUUCUUAUGGCAGUUUGACAUCAGAGGCAGUGCACUUGGUCUACUAUCUGCCCACCCGAUUGCACCCUUUGUCUCGAUUCACCAUGUCGAAGCUAUUGAUCCACUUUACCCGGGUCUAACCAAGCUAGAGAGUCUCAGGCUCUUCACAAAGGCCAUGAGUCUUGAUCCCACUAGCUUCUUGCAGAGAUCGAUUUGCUACGACCAUGGUCACCACCUUUCCUUUGUUGUCUCGAUUGGGUAUGUUGUACAGGUGUUCCCUGGCAUUGUGCUUCCGCGUGUUCUUGAUCGCUCGGAGAAGUCCUACUCGGCGUGGAACGGUAAGACUAAGAGGAACGAGUUCGAUAUGGAUACCCGAGAUCCUUACAAAUCUUAUUGCAAGAGGCCCAUCUUCUUUUUCUUAAAAGAUGCGGUUAAACAGGAUAACGAUACGUUGGGGACGUAUCAACGAGCUAAGCUGAACGAUGAUUUGAAAAGAAGAGUCUUUUGCUUUCCGAAAUCCAGUCCUCUCCCUCAUGUGGCUAGCAUUCGCGUGUUGGCUCGUCCAUUGAGGAAGAAUUGGCACCUGGUGAGUUGAAGUAAACGCCUGGUGUCUGCAAAAAAUCAGCAGCUUUGAUUGUGUAGUCAGUCUUCUCGAUUAAUAUUCUGAGAUUUACUGGAACAGGUUCCCCGACGCCUCUGUUGCAGACUAGACUAUGCAAGUAAUGAAAUAGUUGUUGCAGAGUGUGAAAAGGGAUCACGAGGCUCUGUCACAGAUUCGACACAAGUGAUUAGCAGACCUUCAUGAUCUUGAUGUUGAGAAUGUCGCGACUGAAAAGAUGCUACCUAUAGGAAAGGGGGUUAGCUACGUUGGAUUCUACUCCUUGCAGGAGUUUACUCUUUGGCCCUGAUCCUUCACAGCACCGAGCAAGUAAUUUCACUGAUUGAAGGUGAAGUCAAGAUUAGUCCCGCUCGCGAACUAGUAAGCCUUUGCUAACCUAACCUCACUGCUUGAGUUUUGCUUGGAAGUUUCACAUUUAUGUAAAAGUUGAGAGAUUGAUGGAGAUUGUUUGGUUGAGAGCUUUGCUUUCGUGUCGUACCUUGUACUGCUUGUAAUUUAUGUAUCCAUUCCUGUCCGUUUUAGGUCAUGUAGUACGUUUGAGGAGGAAAUAGGCAUCUUUCGUUCAUUGUUUCAGUGGCAUACUAAUCUGUUGUUGUCUAAGAUUAGAUUGGGAGCCUAUGUGCUUCGGUGCUUAUACCGAGCAACAUUAUAUAAAGAACAUACGUGGGAGAUGACAACAUGUUUCACAACAGAACUAUUUCAUGCUACACAAGACCUACAACCUCUACCUACCUUAAUCCAACUCCGGCUUGGUUUUACUCAUUUUCAUCUUUGCUUUGAACCUCAAUUUCACCAGCAGUGUCUGUACCGUGUUUGAGAAAUUUCCAGCAGCCAUGAACACCAACAGGAUUCCGCAGAAUAUUACCUAUCACCAGAUCUCGCCUGUUAGUAGACUGCACCUUGUAUGGUAAAUAGAGGUUGCCUAAAGUUGCUUGUUUCGGCAACCAGACUAGUAAUCAACAUGAGAAAGGAAGAACUAUAACCUGCCACUCGGUGACAACCCUCGCCAAUGCAGUUCUCAGCAACUGCAAUCCAACAUAUGCCUCAAACCCCUAACAAAGAAAAAACCAACAACACCCAAUAUGCCAAACGUUUCUAGAACUUGGUUUUUAGAGCUUUGAAAUUACUUGGAUGGAGCACCAGAAUGAGAAACAAUCAUUCUCGAAAAAAGAUAAGAGCUUCUGGUUAAAUGCUUCACCUGUAAAAUAAAGAGAAUAGGUGCCAACAACCACAAUUGGCCAUCUACACCAGCAGUUUCUCCCCAUACUACAUCCAUUCUCUUUGCCUGCAAAAGGCCAACAUUUUAGAUGAACAUACAUGGACCCGUAUACGAACGAAUGGCGUUGGAUAAGAUUAAGGGUAUUGCAAUACCUUCCCCAAUGCAAUUCGAGUGUAAAGUCUCUGUCGCUGGUAUCUGUUCUGUAAAAGCAUUGCGACUCCUUGCAUCAUAGCCCAUUGCAAGAAGAGUUCUACCCCUCUCUGAAAACUACUGAGUUAUUACAUGAACAACCAAACCCAAUAAGAACAGUAGGACACGGCAAAGUACGUAGGAACCUGUUUCUGGGCACAAUUGGGCUGUCCUUUUAUCUCCCAUGUAAGGCUUACUAAGGCCAUAAUCAUAGCACAAUAGUGAUGGUAGAUCCACCUGGGAAAAAUAAUGAAUUGCACAAGCAGCUGCUUAAAUGAGGCUACGUCGUUUAAGAGCAUCAGUUUACUUUUCUACAUUACAUUUUUUUUGGUGAAAAAAAUGACAACUUUUCUACAUUACAUGAUUCAAGAGGCGGCUUAGGUUUGUAUACGAAAAAACACAGAGGUACUCGUUUGGAAGUGAAAUGUGAAACUUUAUCUGUUGUUGACUGAUGCAUACCCAUAAUAGUCUGUGAUUGGUCCAAGUAGUUUCUGCAACCAGUAUGUACUAUCAACCAACACGUGAACUGUAAUAAACAAUUCUAAGUGGCUUCUCCAAGAUUUCCUCAAAGCUUCAGAUAUCCAAAACAAUGUAAACAAGUGAACUCUGAAACUUUCUUCCGACUUAUCUUAAGUCUUAAAAUUAGGCUAAAAUAUGGCAAAUAUCAAGUAUUUUUCACCGAUUUCAAAGACCAAAGUUUGAGUUGGUGAAAGUAACUGGCUACUGAUAGAGAGAGGGAUAUUUCAAUUACCAGGGACGGAUAUCACUUCCAUUGGCCCUCAGUAUGUUUUCUCGCAACGCCAACCCGGUAUAGAGGAAUAAUAACCAUGACUGAAGAGUGGAAAAAAUUGAAAAAGGUUAGAAGAUUGGUCAAUCAAGACAAAUUCCAAAGUAGAAUAAAAACGUGAUUACCUGAUACAGUUGAACAGGGAACGAUGGCAAGCACCCGUCCCACACCCAAGACCUCAUAAUCAGUAGAGCUGAUGGGAACAGCAGAAAUAGAAGGGCAGUUCUAUCCUGCUCCAGAGAGACAGAGAGCACAUUAUGAUUACUUAACAGGCUGGAGAAAUUGUCUUAUGACCCCAAUUAACUACAAACUUCCAGACUAAAAAAACAUGGAAAUUACAGGAAUACGAGGAGAAGGGAGACUGAUAUAGAUAAAGCAUACCCUAUAACUGUUGUACUCUUCUUUAACCUUCAAUUGGACGUCUUUUCGAGACGCUUGUACGUUAAUAGGGCCCAGAAACAUCCUGAGAAAUCUUCCUGUAAGGAUGAGUGGGGUUAGGUGAGUAAGCUCGGAGUAGAAUUAACAGCUUGCAGUGCUUUGAAGUAGAUCAAUUUUAAACAAAAAUGAAGCUGAAGAAGUACCAUGGCCCUUGGAAGGAAGAAACGCAGCUGCUUCCCCAUCGGAAAUCAUGCAUUUAGCUCUCUGCAACUCCUCCUCCAGCUGUGACAACAAAGAAGCAAUCAAUCAGAUAAGAAGAAAACCCAGCCGACAUUAUCAUAGUCUACAGCAGGAGAGGAAGUGAAGUGAAGUGAAGUUCCGGUCAAGUGAAGAGAAUGGAAAUGAAUGAAUUACCUUGUCAGCGAGCUUGGCAUCGACGAGGCGGCGAGAGACGAGGGAGUGAAGACGAGAACGGCAGCGGUGGAUUGAGGAGUCGACGGAGUUAGCGCGUUGGCGGAGCGAUUGUUCAUCGUUGGAGGAAGUAUAGAUGUGAGAGGCAGCCGAUUCCUGAAGCUGCUUCGCCUCUUCCACUACUCUCCCCGCCUCUUGUUCCACGUUGCUCGCCGAUUCAUCUGGCGUAGAAUUUCGGCCAGCGUCCAUCACUUCUGAUUCUUUGUUUAGUCUUUUACCCCUGCUCCUCCCUUUCUCCGGCGAAAGGAGUGGAGUCGGAUCUGAGUCGGCGAUCAGGUGUAGAUGGAAACAGCGAUAACCUAAGCAAAACGAAAUAACGGAGCAGCAGAAAUUGUUUGCAGUCUCUCGGAAAACCUUCGGCCAGAGGAGGAGAGCGGAUAUUCUGACUAGAACCUUAAGCGUUUGCUUUGAUUAGCCUUCCCUUCCCUAAAAGAUGCUCAAAUAUUUUGAUUCUGUGUUGGUACUCUGGCUCGCUCGCUCACUCUAUCUCCCGCAAUUUUAGCCCUACAGACCCGGUCUUCCCACAUAUGAAGCUAGAUUUUGCCGCUUCACAUCUCCCUUCGAACAGCUCGCUGGUCAAAGCAGAGAACUCACUGAGCAACUCAGGCGAAAAAGCGUAUUCACGAUCCGAUUCGAUCAGAAACAACAGUCACCAUUACCCUGGUAAUCCUUCAUAAGCUCGUCUCCAAGGUAGUCGUCACUCCUGGUCUAAGUUCCGAGGAAAGGUAAAACGAUUUUCGUUAGGUUUUAUGGAUUUGAAAUUUUAAGCAAUCAUGAAGAGAAGUAAAAGGAUCAGCAAGGAUUCUGAAGGAAUCGACCUGCUAAGUGAUCUUCCUGACGGUGUUUUGCAUCACAUUCUUUCCUUUCUCGACACUAAAUCUUCGAUUCAAAGCUGCAUUCUAUCGAGGAGGUGGAGAUGUCUGUGGAAAUAUGUUCCCGUUCUCACAUUCCGCACAAGCUCGGGCGGGAGUGACCUGGAUUUCGGGAAAUAUGGGAAUCAAGUUCUAUCUCUUCGUUUGGAUUGUAAUGUCUACAAGAUUACGUGUGAAUUCAAUACACCAUAUAGGAUGGAUCUGUUUGAUAGGAGCAUGAAAUAUGGGGCCUCUCAAGGUGUCCAACACUUAUUUUUGGCUGCCAAUUUGUAUGGCGGUGUAGAUCUGAAGGCCAGUCCAGCUCUUUGCAAGUGCUAUCAAUCUCUAAAAGUUCUGGAAUUAGAACAAACAUUUUUAGACGAUACAGUCAGUUGGAUUGUUUUCUGGUUUACAACAACUUGAAUCUCUUACUUUGAGGUACUGCAUCUUCAAGGUGUUCGGGUUUGAUAGUGAUGGUUUUGAUAAUCUUUCCAAAUUGGAAAGCCUAAAGGUGAUAGGUUGCACUCAGAUCAAGCUUAGUAUUUUUAAAAUUUAUGUAGCCCAACUUCUAAACUUGCAAAUAGAUGGAGGAUCAUCAGACUGUAUUGGAAUUGUCACACCUAAGCUCCAAUCUUUGUGUUUUAAGUACAGGUGUUUUGGCGAUUUGCUACCAGACUUCUCCAAGUCGUAUCUCCCUUCCCUCGGUCAUGCAGACAUGGACUUAUUUGAGCAUCGAUGUAAACUUUCAAAGAGCUAUAGUGAUAAUGAUUCCGAGAAGGAUCUGCUGCAGCUCAAGUGGUGUGUAAGCUUGUUCAAUGUGUGUGUCUAAUGUGCAAUCCCUCAAUUUGCGAAUUGAACCCUUAGAGGUAAUGUUACCUGUUACAUGCCUUGUAGUUCCAUACAUUUACUAUGUUCCUGCACUCUAUAUAUGUUCCAGUAAUUUUUUUGUUGAAAGCUUUUCUUUUUUGUUUUGUUGUUCUACUCCGUAGUGGUUGAUCCAGACUUGUGACAUGGUGAAACUUCAACCAUCUCCCUUUAAGCGAAUGAAGUCUUUCAAUUUCAAGUCUUUUCAAGGAUCUCAUAACCUACCACAUCAAGUCAUGCAUUACUUUCUUGAAGGCUCUCGUAAUGAAGAUGAGCAAUUUACGGCUAAGGAGGAAUGUUGUUGAACCUAAAAACAAACGACUCUAAACAAUUUGUUUGGAAUUUUUUUGAUGAUGUGCACUGAUUGAGUACAUAUAGAGGUAUGUUCUGUUUUGCAGUUUUUGCCUUCCUUUUCUGUUCUUUUAUGCUUUGUUUCUUGUCUAUUGAACUUGUGAACACAGAAGUUGAUCAAUGGAUUAAAAGACUUCAUGCCCUGUCUCCUGUUGCAGAUAUGAUGGCUUUAUGUGGAACAUGUAAGAUCUGGUGGAUGAAUGAGGAGAUCUGGAAAAGACACAUUGGUCGUCAACUCCAUGCAAUCCAUAACAAGAGUACUAGUUACUGCUUAUUACCGACUCUGAUUGGUUAUGCUUUCUAUUCAGAAACUUUUUGUCAACCUUAGUAAACGUACGAGUAGAGUAGCCAAGGUUGCAGUAGUCAGUCAUGGUAGAGUAGUUAACUGCUUAUUAACAUUUGAAGUUAGAAUUCAGUGUGUCCUUGUAUUGCAGGCAGACAUUGUAAUGGUAUUACUAUUAUCAUCAAUAUUAAGAAAAGCAGCAAAGGAACUGCUCAAGAAACUCGUCUCUGUUCAUCCUGAACUUACACUUCUAAGUAGUACUAAUAAUACUACAAGGAUGUCUGUUCAAGUUCAAAUUUCAGCUUAAACUCUGUGUAGCAGCUGCUGCAAUAUAUCUUUCUACUGGUGGCUUUUGUCAUGUGAAUGAAUCAUUCACAUGUUGGAACUUACCAGUUUAUGAUUAUCAUUUGCAACUUCAUACAUGAUCAUUCUUACUUGUAUAAAAAAUGUUGUAUCGCCCGAAUUUGGGAACCAUCGUUGGUAACUCUCGUAUGGUGGAGAUUUGCGUUGACCUUGUUUUUUCGGGAUGCUUCACAAUAGCCAUGUUUUAAUACGGAAUAAUCGAUUUAGACGCGCACCAAUAUAAAAUAUAAAUUUAGACAAUGCCUCGGACGAUCAUCUCUCAUCUCUUGCUUCGAUCCGAAUAAGUCGGUAAUUUAUUUUUUCAUUUGGCCGUUGAUCGCUCGAUGGGUUGAAUAGCCGUUGUUGACCCGUCAUAGCCUCACCCUUUGGCUCGACCAGUUCGGUUCUUUUUUCAAAUAUUGUAAAUUAAUUAAAUUAUUUAAAAAACGAAGUCUAAUUUUUAAUUCUAGUAUAGUAUUAUAUUUAUCAACUAGUUCUUAGAAUUAUAAUUUAUGAUUAGUGUUUUUAUUUUACAAUAUACUUUAUGAAGUAUUGAACCCCACUGAGUUUGUAUUACAUCAAUAAGUCAUUUAGGAGGUGCAUUCCCCUUAAACGGGGAUGCAUGGAACCUUGAUUGACGAGCAAACUCGUGAGCAACCUUAUUCCGCUCUUUCCUAAUAUGUUUAAAGCUAAACCCCUCCCAGGCACGAAAAAGGCCUCUACACAUUCGAAUUACAUCCCCAAACUCGGUGAGGUCUUCGUCAGUCCCAAGAGCAUCAUGCAUUACUACCUGGGAGUCUCCGUUAAAGAUCACAUUUUCAUAGCCCAUUAAUAUCACUCCUCUCAUAGCAAGCAACAAAGCUACUGCCUCUCCCGGCAUAACAGUCCACAUACCUGCAUGGAUACGCGUGUGGAAAUGAAGUUGUGAACCUGCGUGAUCCUGCAGCACCCAGCUUGUACCUGUUAUGUGUAUCUCCGGAAAAAUGGUCGUGUCGAAGUUACAUUUGAGUUUAUUAGUCGGCGGAUUAUGCCAUUUAAGGCAGUAGAAGGGUUUCGAUGUCGUGGUUUUGUUAAUCAUUCUAACCGCUUGCCAGUCGUGCAAAAAGUUCAGACCCUCCUUGACUACAGCGAUCGGGUUGCAUUCGAUUCGCUUCCAGACACGAUUGUUUCAUUCCUUCCAUAUGCACCAUAAACCUACCGCCACUUUCUGGCUCACUUGCUCCGUCUUGGUCUUGAGAAUAUUCCACAACCAUUGCUCCGCUUCCAUCACCGUCGAGCUAUGCCUCUGGAUUUUAUCAUCAAUCUCGAGCUAACACCACACCUGUUUGUCAAAUGGGCAUUCGAUGAAGAUGUGCCAGCAUUCUUCGAAAUCAGCUGCACAUAUACCGCAUGCAGCCUGCAUUCCUUUUCGUCUAAGCCUGCCGCGGGUAGGUAUAACAUCAUGUGCUAACCGCCAGAGAAAAUGUCGCAACUUAGGAGGAGUUUGUAGAUCCCAUAGCUUGUUCCAUUCUCAUUUUUUAUAAUGUUCCGAACGAUCUACCAUGUGUUUCAUAUAGACCCGAUAUGCUGAGCGUACCGUAUACUGGCUGUUUUUGCUAAAGCUCCAUACCCGGGGAUCAUACCUCGUCGCCACACUCAUAGGUAUCGCAACGAUCUCCUUUUGAUACCUACUCGUAAACAAUUGUUGAAUAAGGUCAAGGUCCCAUUCCUGUGAGUCUUCUCAGAAAAGAUGGAAAACCCGAGCUUCCUCCGAACUUGCUGGCAUUACAGAUUCGAGUUUGUGAUUUCCAUCCAGUGUUAAAAGCCAUGGGUCCCCGCAGAUUUGGAUGGAUCUUCCAUCACCAAUUCGCCAGCGGCUGCCGAUCGUUAGAAUUUGUUGCGUGUUCCAAAGGCUCCUCCAUACAAAACUCGGGUUGUGACCCAAUCCUGCAGACAUGAAAUCAGUGUCGGGAUAAUAUUUUUCUCUAUAAAUUCAACUAACCAGAGAGGUCGGACUUGACAUUAAUCUCCAUGCUUGUUUCCCUAGCAAAGCCAGGUUGAAACCUUUCGAAUCUCGAAAACCCAUACCACCAACGUCUUUCCGAAUAACUAGUCUUUGCCACUUCAUCCAGGCUACACCUAUCCCCGUAAACCGUCAUGCUCUCCACCAAAAGGCGCUUAACAUGCGUUCAAACUCCUCAAUAAUACCAUCCAGUAGUAAAAAAAACAUUCAUGAUAUACAUAGGAAGUGCUUGGAUCACCUGCUUUGUAAAGUGACGUUGGUCGCCUUGCUAAAUAAGACUCCAGAUUUCUCGAAAUUUAAAUUGUUCGGAUGCGUAGAGUACACAUCUAAUAUACUUCUGAGCCUUCUAGCCUCUUCGGCCGUUGCUUGAUAAAAGAAAAGAGAAUCAUCUGGGAAUAAGAGAUGGGACACCCUAGGGGCUCUUCUACAGACCUGAUACCCAUGCCACUGACCAUCACGCGCUGCCUGGCGAAUAGAAGUAGUGAGACCCUCCGUACAAAGUAUAAAGAGAAAGGGGGACAGUGGGCAUCCCUGUCGUAGGCCACGCUCCGGAGUGAUAGUUCCAAAUCUACCAUUUCGAACUACCAUCGAGUAUUGAACUGAUCGCACACACAUCACCAUCCACUUGAUCCAAGUACUAUGGAAUCCCAUGCGUAUUAGAAUGGCUUCAAGAUAGCUCCACUCCACUCUAUCAUACGCCUUAGAUAUGUCAAUCUUCAAUGCUACACUCCCCAUGAUGCUUGCCGGUUUUGUUGCCAUACUAUGAAUGGGUUCAAAUGCGAUCAUCACAUUAUCAAUGAUGGAUCGACCUUGUACAAAAGCAAACUGUUCCUCCUGGACUAACUGAGGCAUAACUUUACGAAACCGAUUUUCUAACAGUUUCGCCAAGAUGCAAUAUCUUACAUUACACAGUGAGAUUGGCCUAAGAUCCUUCAUCGUUUCCGGAGAGUCCACAUUCGGAAGUAGAAUGAUAUUUGUGUGUUGCACCUCUUCCCGAAUCACACCCUCCCCGAGUCAUUCUCUACAUUCCUGACAUAUUGCUGGACCCACCACAUCCCAGUAGUCCUGGUAUAAUGUCGGAUUAAAACCAUCAGAGCCUUGCGACUUAUUCGGUCCUAUGGAGACCUUGGCAGAUAUCAAGACAGCAGCCUUGAGGGGAGAACACUUGAAAGGUGUAAGGAAGGGGGAGAGCCAGGCUUGGCAAGAGGAGAAGAAGAGAAAGGCGGUGUCAGGCGGAUUGGAGCUGGUGUCAGCACCCCUUAUGAGGAAGGACACACAUCGUGGUGCUCCUAGAACCCAUACUCACUUCUCUGCCUCUGUCACCCUGAGAGUGCUGCAGAAGCAAUCCACUGCCGGGUUUGACAGUCAUAUUUGCCCGGAGUGUGAGAUGUGACAUGGGGAGCGUUUCUGAAGAAAGUAGGAGUAUGUUACAGCUGUGGGCAACCAAGGCACUUUCCUCGGGAGUGCAUUGAGUUAAGAAAGCCUGCAGCAUCAAAGGCGACAAUGGAGUAGAGGAGAGCUCCUUAUGGGAGCAGGAACAGAGGUGGAUGCUCUAAGGCUCCGCUGACAAGAGCCAAUGCAGUACCCUUAGGCCAGGGCACGUUGUAGAGAAGGAACACAGAGGCUCAGAGCAGGGUGUACAUCACCAGAGUUGAGGCCGCCCCAAAUACCAUCACGGGUACAGUUUUCCUUUUUGGCCGAUCUUUUCAUGUCUUGUUUGAUACGAGUGUUUCACACUCUUUCAUCUCAACUGUUGUCAUUCGAGUUUUACUAGUAUUUCCUACUAGGAUGAGUAGACCUUUUAGAGUGUGUACCCAGUGGGGAAGACUCUACUGGUAGAGUCUUGGGUAGAAGGAGCUGUUCUGCUCUUUAAGGAUAGAGAGUUCACUGCGAAUCUCAUCGUUCUACCUUUUGAUGAGUUCGAUGUGAUUUUGGGGAUGGAUUGGCCGAGGCACCAUCGAGCCUUAGUAGAUUAUACGAAGAAGAUGAUUAGGUUCUUGAUACCUAAGUAGGAGGAUGUAGUCAUCAUAGGGAUUCAGCCGCAGAUACACCAUAGACGUCCUUUUAUUUCGGCCUUGAAGGCUGAGAUAUUGAUUAGGGGUGGAUGUGAGACUUUCCUAGCUCACGUCACCCUUGAUGCAAAGGGACAUAUUAAGGAUGUGCCAGUAGUUCAGGAAUUUUCAGAUGUCUUUCUAGAUGACCUAUCAUAGGUACCGUUUGAGAGGGAGGUGACUUUCGAUAUAGAGCUCGUGCAGGCUAAACACCCUAUAUUCAUAGCCCCCUACCACAUGGCACCAGUAGAGCUGAAGAAGCUCAAGAGCAGUUGUUAGAGUUGUUGGAGAAGGGUUUCAUCCGCCCACGUUUGUCACCCUGGGGGUGCGCCAGUGUUGUUUGUGAAAAAAAGGAUGGAUCUAUGCGGAUGUGCAUCGAUUAUGAAAGGCUGAAUCAGGUGACCGUGAAGAACAAGUAUCCUCUUUCGUGCAUUGAUGACAUGUUAGAUCAACUUCAGGGAGCAAGAGUGUUCUCUAAGAUCGAUCUAAGGUCGGGGUACCACCAGCUGAAGGUUAUAGAGGAAGUUGUUCCUAAAACGACAUUUUGAACCAGGUAUGGCCACUACGAGUACCAAUUCCUCUGCAGCUUUCAUGGCAAUGAUAAACAAGGUGUUCCAUGAGUACUCAGAUAAAUUUUUCAUAGUAUUCAUUAAUGACAUCUUGGUCUACUUCAAGAUGGAGGAUGAGCAUGUAGAGCCUUUUGAGAGCAGUUCUGCCUAUUAUGAGGAGAGAGCAUUUGCAUGUCAAGUUCUCUAAGUGCGAGUUCGGGCUGAGGGAGGUGUUAUUCCUAGGACAUUUGAUCAGUGAUCGGGGCAUUGAGAUGGACCCAAAGAAAGUGGAGGCGAUAGUAGAUUGGUCCCCGCCUAGUAGUGUGACUGAGGUGAGAAGUUUCCUAGGCAUGGCAAGGUACUAUAGAAAGUUUGUAGAGGGAUUCUCUAAGAUAGCAGGACCACUCCACAAGCUAAACAGGAAGGACACGCCUUUUGUUUGGAGUAACGCCUGUCAUGAUAGCUCUGAGGAGCUGAAGAGUUGGCUCACCAUUGUGCUAGUACGCACUUUGCCAGUUGCAAGUGGUGAGUAUGUUGUAAUAUGACCGACGAGCGAUGAUUGAUUCCAAGCAGAGGGGGUGACCUUCUUAAUCGGUCCCAGACUAAUAGGAUAGGAUUAGAGAUCAUUGAGGAAGUUUUAGAAGGCAAUCUAUCUUCUUCCUCCUUUCUCAAUCUUUUGAUUUGAAUCCUACAUAGGAAAAUCCUCUCAGGUUAGGAUUUGGGGAUUUUGGGAUACAAUCCUACUUUUGAUCUCAACAGGUCAUUCGGAUCAAGCAAUCAAGUUGUAGGGAGAGGACCACAGAUUAGCCUCUUCAGAGGAAAUCUUUUUAGAGGUAGUGGUUAGGAUUACUUUUCUGCUUUAUGCAAAGAAUUGUAAUUAGUUGUCCGAAAUCCUUGCUUGGAUUUUCAGGACUAUACAGUAGCAUGCGAUCUACAGUACAGUUUUUUGUGAUUCACAGUUGAGUAUUUCAGGCUGUGCAGUAGCGUGUGAUCUACUGCACAAACAGUUGUUAUUUUUUAGUAUAAGCUCACAACGAUGAACUGUGCGUGCGAUUCACAAUUCAUGUUUAGGAUAAGAAUCUAGUCUAAUUAGAUUAGCUCCUGCUAUACGUAGGUCGCCCACCUUUUGGAUUGUGCAAUCCCCCAAGAUUCAUUCAGGUCCAUACAGGACGUAAUAAGUUAACAAUCAGCGUUGCUCUCACCACUUUCAGGGUGGUUUCAUAGUCUGAUCCACCAUGAGAGCGUCCGCUCAUAGCUAGGGGUGGCUAACGUUAGGAUAAUACCUACAGGAUCACAUGGUCACUUUACUAGAUACUAGUUCAGUUCUUCACGUUUAAGCUUAGUUACUCAGUGUUUAUCGCUGAUCCCCGUCUCGUUUCUUCAUAUAUGACCAACCUUGGGACUUUAGGAGCAAAUGUUAUCUAAGAGAGCAGCACGAAUAGUGACGCCUCCAUGAAGUGACUCUGGGAGUAGAGAGAGGUACCUUGGAGGACCUCAAUUAUCCCUUUCAUUGUUUUCAUGUUUUUAGGCGUUUUCAUAUUUUCAGACAUUUCUUUGUUCCAUUUGUUUUUCAGACUUAUCUCUAGAUGUUGAGAUGUUUGCUUAUAUUUUGAUACUAGAUUUGAGCCUUAGACGCUCAUAUUACUUUUAAGCAGUUUUACUUAUGUUACGAGGCCUUGUAGUACAGUUGUUUUCAUGUGUAUCUUUGAGUUAUUAUGUGAUGGAGUGAACUCGCGAGUGUUGCAUGGAUCAAACCGAGUGGUUCGAUCGAAUAGUCUAGGGGCGGGUUUCACAUGGUGAUUGGGGAGGGAUGGCCGAUAGGGUUUUUUUUGUGAGUGGGUUGUUAAGUAGAAUAGGAAACUAACUAAAUAGUACUUUUACAUAUUUAUCCUUUUUAUUUUAGCUUUCAACACCAUAUACUUCAUCUAAUGGUGAAUAAUAAUGUUGUCAUGUGACAAUAAAAAGAGGUGUUGUCAUGGCAAGUUUUUUGCACACGUCAAACACUGGCCACGUCUCAGACGGGUCAUCCUAUAAAAAUUUGAUUAUCGAUCGAGUUACUUUUUGUUUAGCCUCGAUGAACUAUCCGUAGUCUGACAAGUUUGUUUGUAUUUUUUUCAAGUUGCGUAGGUCAUAUUUGGUCGGAUUUCUGAGUUUUGAAUAUUUGAAAACUUAACAAGGAGAAUUUGAUAAAUUUACAAUAUUAUAAAAGCGACGAAAUUCAAAUUUAAGUUUGAGACGAAUGCACAUCUUGUGGUUCAUGGUCUUAGGAGGAUAGAUGAGGAUUUGAUCGAAUUCAGAGAUAUGCUACAACGAUGUUAGGAGUUUCUGGAUGCUUUUCCUACUUUCUCGGUUACUUUUACUAGGAGAAACUGUAAUAUUGUAGCACAUGAAAUUGUUCAAUGCUCUGUUAACCGGCGGUCGGCUCUUGAUGGAGAUGUUCCUCCGUCCUAGUUGAGGGAGCUGCUGCAGGCUAUAUGUCUUUAUAUUCAUUAAUAAUACAAAACGAUCAUUUCGAAAAAAGAAUAACAAAUAACCCUUUACAUUAAAAAUUUAUGGUUCGUUUAUAUAUGUGGUAUUUUGGAAUAAAAUGAUGGGUUAUUUCAGACGGUGGUAUUUAUGAGUGCAAAGGGUUUGUGGUGUGAGAAUUAUCUUGUUUGGCUAAUGAGUUAUUCAAUGCGGUAUUUAAUAAUGAAAAUACCACAUUGUCGAAAUAGUGAGGUAAAAUACCACAUUCCGAAAUGCCACAUAUUUUGUUUUGGUUGUCAAAUGAAUUAUUUUGAUGAGAUAUUUGAAAUAACUCGAAAGUGAGUUAUUUGAAAUCUUACUGUCCAAAAUACCACAAAUUUUAUGUUGGAUGUCAAACGAGGUAUUUUGACAAAAAUAACACAAAACGAGUUAUUUUGGUUAAAAAAUCUCACACAAAUACCUCAUCGAUUUUUAGAAUGACAAAUAAAAAGCACUUUACAUUAGGGUAUUGGAUUUAAUCCAGAUAAUUAACUUUAAUAUUCCGAAGGUUUAACCUUUUUAUUUUUAAAGGUCCAGGUCGAUAAAAAAUUACAGGCAGUACCGAAAUCAAAUUCCAUGUCGUAAAUGCGAGUAAACUUUCGGGACUAUUAAAGUUAACGACCCGGUUUAAUCUUGAGUCAAUUUCUGCGUUCUAUAUAUAAAGUAAAAUAUACAGAGAGACCAAAAGAAACGAAUCUAAAACAAUUGGUAAACCCAAAAACCUUGAAUUUGUUCACGUUGGAAGAGUUGGUUGAUUUCCUUUCAAUUUCAGCUCUGCGCUCAAUUAUUUUAUUUUUACUGCUCUCAGUCACCGGAGUAGAAGAGAACUUUUUAUCAUAGUCUGCGGCAGCCGACGCCGAUUGUGGGAUUGAGCUAGACCUUAACCAGCGGGCAAACAAUCUAAGUGGAGGCCUGUCAUGGACCCCUCGAUAAUGAAGCUCCUCGAGGAAGACGAGGCAGGGGUUUUUUGCCUUCUAUGUUGUCGACCUGGGGUUUCUCAGAGUCUUGUUUUGGAACUGUGAUUAUGAUGUUGCUUUGUGCUUCGUUUUGCAGGAUGAAACGAUGCAUUCCGGUGCUGACGUCGAGGCUUUCCAGGCUGCUCUCAAUCGGGAUAUCGAAGGCGACAAAAAUCCCACUCCCCAGACACAUGAUUCGGGUAAUCCCACUUUUCCUCCCCGAUUUAGAAUGUCUUAGGUUAUUUGGAAGCUGUGGCAUUGCUCAUAGUUCAUGGGCUGGAUUAUGAUAGGGAGAUUCCUAUGGUUGGGAUACCAUGAAAUCAUGAAUGCCCAUUGCUCCAUUUCAGAGUUUUUGAAUUGCUGUAUGCAGUUGCUAGUGCAUCUUUUUAUUAUCUCUGAUAUGUUGCUGGAUGGGUAGUUUAGUGACGUGAAGCUCAUGAUGGUUACUUGGAUUAUGUUACCAGCAGUCUCGCUAUGGCCUUCUUUGUUAGUAUAAUGUCAGUUCAGCAGGCUGAAAACUUUAUUAUAAUGCUCAACUGAAAAAUGUGGUAGCUUUUCCAAAUGAAGGGAACCGAGAGUCGUCUCAGCCGCUUCAAAGCUGGCCGUCAAUUGGACAAGGUGGAAUUCCUGCGGGUUCAAGCAAUCAGGGGCUACUUAAUUUAUCACAUGCACAACAGUUAUCACACCAACAACAGCAAUCAUCUAUGGUGCUCGAUCAACGCUCAUCUGUAGCUGAGAAACAGCAGCAACUUAAUGAUGUGUCACAGGGACAAAAUGACCCUCCAACGAUACAUCAAAACCAACCCCAAGACAAUCUUCAACAGGUAAAGGUGGAACAGGCCGCUACUCAAACUCCCGGGACUACUGUGAUUUCAAUGUCUGAUAAAAGUCCUGCUCCAAUAUCUGAGCCUGGGAAAUCACAAAACCCUGCUGCUGAAUCCCAGUACCCGAAGUUCCCUAGGAUGCCCCAACAAAUGACAGGCACAGAACCGGUCGUGAGUCCAAAUAAUCAGGGAAAGCAAAUACCAUUUGUGAUGUUGUUCCCUGCCUUAAAACCCCAUCUUGAUAAGGACAAAGAGAUGCAGCUCGGGAUCAUCUUCAAUAAACUAAAGGUGGGUAUCUGCGGUGAUUGUAUACGUCAGUAAUUUGUUUACUCAUGUACCGUAUAUUUUCUGAAUUUUCUGCCACCUUUUGUGUUAGAGAAAUGAAAUCCCAAAAGAUCAAUUUGUCAGGCAUUUGAAGAAUAUCGUAGGGGAUCAAGUGCUGAAGCUGGCAAUUUCUCAGUGGCAAUCACAGGUAUGAAAAAAUAUAUUGAACGUGAGGAAUGUCUUGGUUGACAUUAGUUAAUACCAAUUUUUUUCUGGAAACGCAGCAUGGACCCAAACAAUCCCAGUUACAGUCUCAAGCUUUAGCUCGUCAACAAAAUGCCAGGAUACCCACCAGUUCUAAUCCCUCUCAACUUCCUGUUGCCCAUCCAUUUGCUCCUCAUCAGAAGGGACCAAGUACUUCUCCAGACACGGCUUACAAUGCUCAUUCAUCAGUCAAACCGCAGGCUGAUGGUUCAGCUCAUGUUCUUACCAUGACCGGUAAUCCCAAAACCCAACAAGUUGUUUCUCAUGCAGUCAACUUUAGCCGAAUGACUUCACCCAGUGCAAACAUAGUCAACCAACAUAGAGAUUCCUCUUCAGUUCCAACCCAAGGACUCAACAAGCAAAACCAACAACAUUCACACUUUCCACAGACUUCCUUUCCCAUGUAUGGUGGUACUGGAAGUAAUUUCCCCACAUAUUCUGGUACAGCAAAAAAUGCUUCAGGCGCAUCUAUGAAUCCACAUCAUCAAGGAAUUGGCAUAAAUCAAGUAGGAAAACCUAGCCAGGCAAUGAGCACCCUCAAUAGUGGCCCUAUCUCUCCUUAUCCUCCUAGCAAGACAACAUUGCAGCAAAAUCCAGUUCAUUGGCAAACAUCAACAAACAAAGACCAAAGUCGCACCCCAUUUUCUCCUAUGAAUUCUGUAAAACAGGAAGUUGUUGAGCGGGCUGGUGAGCAGUCACAGAAAUUGCAGUUUGGUAACCAUCGUGAGUUAUGGGCUGGUGCUGCGCAAGGAAACACAAAUUUGGGGAGUUUCAAAGAUGAUUCAGAUAAGCCUCCUUCAAGUGUCGGUUCCUUGAAAUCCUCUGAUACUGCACGCUCAAAUUUAGCUGCUCCUUCCAACCCGACUCAGUUGGACCAUAAUACUCAGGUCAGGCUAUCUUUUUGUUCUUGGUUUAGGUGUCGCAUUGUUUCCUGGCAUUUACUAAAUUGCUCAAGGCUUUGGUUUCCUUUAUAUGGUUGUAAGGUGUGAGUAAAACUCUGGUACGUUUUAUUUUGUCGAGUAACUUCUAUUAAAAUUAAGUGCUCUGGAGAAUAAUUUGAGGAAAUAUUAUUUUUACAUGAUCAGAGAAUUUUAAAAAGUUGCAGCGCAACCAACAUGAUUUUAGAUGCCUUAUAUCCUUCCCUAUUAGUAAACGAGUUUCAAGAACUUUCUCAGCAGUAGUAGGAGUUAAUUUGUUCCUCUGAUAUAAUGCUAAGCUUAGGAAUUUCAAAAGUUCAUGCAAGAGAUAUUCUUGUGUUUUUCCCUGAGUUUUGGCAUCAUGGCUAUCGGACCAUAUCAUGGACUGGUAUGGUGGUUCUUCCAUCAUCCUGCCUAUUAAAAACCUUGUGAACAUCGGUCUUUUAAAUAGUUUUACCCCGUGCACAUAAAUUUCCUUUGGAAGGACCAAAUUGAUCGCUUACUUUAGAUGUUGAGGCCAGUACUGCUCGCAUUAUACAUUGGCGAUUGCAUAGUCAUUAUCUGUCUUCCAUUCAUUAAUAGGCUGCCUCCAGGAUUCCUCCUUCUUCUGCACCGAAUGCAAGAACUCCUCCCAAGAAACCUUCUGUUGGGCAAAAAAAGCCACUAGAAGCUCUUGGAUCUUCACCGCCAGCAGCAAGGUGAAAAUUUGACAUCGUUCAUUAGUUUCGUUCUACUUUGUAUCUGCAUUGCAUUUUAUUGUAUCCUCCAAUAAUUAAAAUUUUUCUGGAUGAACGGAACCAAAAGAGUGGUUUAUUGGUUGUCGUGUCCUUCCAUACGAUGAAUUCGAGGGUUCAAUCCCCACCUCUACUAUGAGAUAAAAAAGGACUUUCUAGACCAACUCUUACACCCUCUUUCUGGAAUUUGUACAGUAAGAAGCAGAAGGUUUCUGGUGCAUUUUUGGAUUCGAGCAUUGAACAACUAAAUGAUGUCACUGCUGUCAGUGGAGUUGAUCUUAGGGUAUGCAUAUUCUCCUGUUAUCAAGCUUGACUGAUGAAUAUUAUCAAAGUGAAGAAACUGAGCUUCCAAUGUUCCUCGUAUGUGUUAUUAUAUUCUACAGGAAGAGGAAGAACAGUUAUUCUCUGCGACCAUGGAGGACGGUCGAGUUUCUGAAGCAUCUAGAAGAGUUGUACAAGAAGAAGAAGAGAGGCUGCUUUUGCAGAAAACUCCUCUUCAGAAAAAAGUGGCUGAGAUCAGUUAAUUUUCUUUCCAUCAUAUUUUCUUUUAUGGAGGUAAUGUCCAUUGUACAUAUUGGUUUACUUCUAGUUUGCGUGUCCUUGCAGUGGUCAAGUGUGGUCUGAAGAAUUUCAGCAGUGAUGUCGCAAAAUGCUUGUCCUUGGUGAGAAGCUAAAACUAUGUUUUCCAAAUUAAAUGACUCAAAUCUUACAGAUAAAUGAUUUACCGCCGAUUUUGAUUUGUCUAGAGUGAAUAUAUUUCUCCCAAAAAAUUGUCUUGUUUUCCAUUAAUUAUUGUCACCGGAUGUAAAGUAAGUGAAACAAAAUAAAAAUAAAAAUGGGGUAAUAAGUGAAGAGAGAGAAAGAGAGGGAAGGAAGAGAGAUGACAAAAUCCGGCGACAAUUAAAUUUGCUGUCACUUCAAACAAGGGGAAAUGAAAACCCUCAUAUGACAGAUUUGAGGCACAUGGAUAUUCAAAGUCUGACGGUUUUGGGUCGCGUUUUUUUAAUCGUAAAACAUGGAUUCAUUUUUUGCGAAAUCCGGCCUAUUUGUCCGCGUUUUCACGCGGUCUAAUUCUUUUACCUUCUUAUCACUUUCUUACUUGAAAAAUAUUAGACAUUUUCUAAUGAAAAGAUCUGUUUAGAGUGUGGAGGAAAGAAUGCGAAGUUUGGUCAGUAACAUGGUCAGAAUGUCUAAACAGGUAAAUUAAUGCUGAUCUCUCUGCUACUUUGGAAUUUUUCCUUCAUUCGACUUGAUGUUACUUUUUUGUGAUUCGGACUGCAUUUCUACAGAGGAUUGACUCAGAGAAAUCCAGACACAGGACAGUAGUUACCUCUGAUGUCCGGCAACAACUUAUGACAAUGAACCAGCAAGCUAAGUCUGAAUGGGAGAAAAAACAGGCCGAAGCAGAAAAGCUCUGGAGAGUAAAUGAAGUAGGUUCUUUAAUCUGCAUGUUUGUGAUGGGUCUUCUUAAUGAUUCUUUCUAAAUUUCAUUGCUAAACGCCAUGGUGGAUCGUCAUUCGUAUGUCUCUAUGAUUGAUAUGUCAAUGUAGCCCGAGGCUGAUGGUGGAUCCGAAGCUGACAGGGACAAAGACGAUGCGAAAGGAAAAGCCAGCAAGGUAUUCAUCAUUUACACCAUAUUGCCAAUAAGUGGAAGUUCCAUCCAACCGUACCAUGAAUGAAUGUUCUGAUACAUAGGUGAACAAAGAGGAGGAUGACAAAAUGAGAACAACUGCUGCAAAUGUUGCUGCCCGAGCUGCUGUUGGGGGAGAUGACAUGUUGUCGAAAUGGCAACUCAUGGCCGAGCAAGCUCGGCAGAAACGUGAAGGGGUUCCAGAUUCUGCAUCCUCUUCUCAAUUCGCGUCAGAUGGAAGCCAUAAGCCUCAGACGUUGUCUGGAAGGAACAACAAUCAAGACGGACAAAAGAACUCUGUUUCUGCAUCCUGUACGUUUGACAAAAUCAUCAUAAUUCACAUGCUUGCUUCUGUAUCUCGGUCUUUUUUACUGUUUUAUUGUUGGAUAUUGUCAGGGAGUGGUAGAAACCUUGGGAGGAACAGCGGAGCAGCAGCUCAGUUGAGGGAGGAUCGGACUUUAUCUAUCAAGGAUGUGAUUGCAGUGAUGGAACGAGAGCCCCAGUUGUCGAAGUCUACGUUGAUUUAUAAACUCUAUGAGAAGAUUCGGUUGGAUCGGCCACCCGAAUGAUAUUUCUGAAUCUGGGUGGCUUCGGUUGAUGUGGUUAAAACCCCAGUUUGGUGCUUCAGCUCAUUUUGAUUUAUGGGAGCUGCCCACACCCCCCACCCCCAACAGCUGCAACUACUUUUGCCAACUAUGUAGUUUGAGAAUAGGAUGCAGUAUUUGUUUUGGUAGCACCUAGUCGGUCUGAAUGUGCUUGCUGAGUUUUGCAAUAGACUCUGGCAAGGGAAAUCUACGUCUGCAAUCUUGGCAACUGUGUCAAAUGGUUUUCGCUCGUGUCCCUUUUAGGAUCAUAUUGUGGAAAACUUGUGGAAUUUUUUUCCAGAAUCUAUCUAUUUUCUGUGUGUUUUCGCAGUCUAUUAUUAUCCGGCUAAAAGGGUAAAUUCAAAAUCCGAUCACGAAUGAAUUUGGUUGUCACAUUUUGCCUGUUUAGCCAAAUAGGUGGAGGCUGGUAAAACCUGACGAGUAGACAGACAACUACCGACCCUGUAUUCACCUACUGGAAAAGAAAAGAACCAAAAGAGGAAGCUCUGCAACAACACUUAAUUGAUUGAAUCGUUACAAACAAUACUACACACCUACAAGCAAAAAUGCACUAAAAACUCAACGUUGCUUUGGUAAAGAAUUUGCACCUUCUUGAGCAGUCCAAUAAGUUUUGACUGCAAUCAGGAUUUUCUCAGCGUUAAAGGGUCCACUCUCAUGAUCCAUAAUGCGACUCUUCCAUUUCAUUCUGUUCGUAAUGCUCUGUACCUUCACCAACACCUCUACCGUAUCCCUAAAUACGACCGUCCCUUCCGGCCUCAGAAUUCGAUCCAUCUCCAGCAAGAUCACGGCAAUGUCGCACCUGUCUUGGUAGAUGCUAAAGACAUUACCAGCAUGGAUGAGGUCGUACGUCCUGGGAUAAGUCGAGAAUGCCUCGCACCAAUCUUGAUACGUACCGACGAACCCUCUCUCGUAGAUGGCUCCGAGGGUGUCGUGGUUCGAGUCGGAAGGGACCACGUUCAUGACCCAAACGGGGUAUUUGAUCAAUGCGGCUGCGAAACCCCCUAGGUAAGCGUUCAUGUCCAUGACGUUACGGUACCACCCUUGCACUAAGGGGUUGACGAUUUGCUUGUAGUGGUUUAGCCUCUCCUUCCAGACUUCGUUGUCUUCCUUGAACUUCUCGGCUGUGAUUCCCGGUAUCGUACCUGUUUGGAGAAAAUGUAAAUAGUUUGUAAAAACUAAAGAGGUCUCGAACAGUACAUUAGAGAGAAGACUCCUGCAACAAUACCCCUAGCGAUCCUAGGCGGGACUGAAAAGGCACGUGCCGGCCAUUUCUCCAGCGCGCCUCCGGCAACUUGGUCUCCAGAGUCGUCGUUUACCUCCGGGAGUGGAGUUAUGCAAGUUUCCAUGUUCUUGUACCUGUUAUAACAGAUACAUUUGAUCAUGAGCUAAAAUCUUAGGUCACGUUUUCUGCUCCUCAAUCACCAAUUCCGGCCGGAAUUAUGAAAGCUGCUGGAAUUUGGAUUCAAGGCCCAAUCUGCCGGAUUUGACAAUUACCUACCUCCCCAAAGCAGCUCUCAGCGGUUGGAGUUAAGCAGAAUUAAAUCCCCAAAUCCGAUGGAAUUGAAGAUGUUGUUUUAUGAGCGCAAAAAACGUAUUCAGUGGAAUUGACCUUAAAAUUCGGCCAAUUCCGGAGCGGGAAACUACCCUUGGUAAAAUAGAUCAAUGUAUAUAUAUAUACACACGUACCAUGAUGCAUCAGGAUUGUCGGACUUGCACAUGUGAGGAGUCUUGUACACCUUGCGAUUCCGAACACAUUCGAAGUGGUUAAUGGGUUUCUGCCAAAUCAAGAGAUCUUUCUUCUCCGCCACUUUCUUCCAGCAAAGCCGUUUGGCGACAUCCUCAAUGGCGUCCUGUUCGUGUUUGAGAUCCUGCUGACUUCUUUCCCACCCUUUCCAGUGCGUCUUCCAGUUAAUUGGUGGCCCAGACAGAAUCCAGUAGCCACCUGGUCUCAGUACCCUGUCCACUUCAAUUAAAUACAGCCCAUCUGCAUGUGUGGAACACGUAUAUUCAUAAUUAGAAACUGAAGUCAUAUUCGUUACACUGAAAUUUGAACUUCGUCCUCUUUAAGUGUACUGAAAUGACCAUAUCGUCCUUUGUAAAUUGUUUUAUUAAUCCGAACUCGAUGCCAAGCCUACUAGGUAUAAUAACUCGUUCGUGAGCUUGUGGAAUCGGGAACUGAAAUGAAGUUACCGUUACUAAACCAAGGUAUCAAGCAGCGAGAGCAGUGAGCCAUGUCGAAAGCCCUUGCAGGAUAAGGAAGCCUCUGGGAUCCCAUUACACCAAUCAUAGCUGGAACUCCCCUCUCCAAUGCGAACUGUACCUGCGCUUCGUGGGUAUCCCUUGGCGCAAAUGACAUCGCCAGGAUGUCCCUCUUCAGCAAAUAUGCCCCCCAACUCGCCACCUGCAUCACAAGACAUUCGAUCUUAUCGUGAAUGAUACACAAAUAUAGGAAACAACAUUAAAGAUUCACGAUUCAGAUUUUCACGUUAGUUAUUUAUUAGUUUGCGAGACUUACGCCACAACCAGUGUCGACUGCAGUACGGAUGGUGCCUCCGGUAAGAGGGAUGAGAUAUUUAAUGUCAUCAAUAUAAGCAUCGGCGCCACGGGGAAACAUAGUGCCACCUCCGGGGAACUUGAACCUGUCCCCCUCAACUUGGAUCCAAUUCUGAACGGCCUUCUCAAUGCUCAGCUCUUUGUGAGGAAUGUUGUCGUACCAUGCAUAGUCGCGGCUCUGAGGCCAUUUGAAAGGCGUCUUGUAAUUCGGCGGAGCCGGUAUCAGGCAGAACAAGAGCUCUUCUUUGGCAGGGCAAUGCCUCUCCCUGUAUUUCAUCAUGUCCCUGUCGAACUUCCUCCCCCUCGGCGGGUACUGGCAAGGGGUGUACUCGCUGUACGACAUCUCACAUGGUGGGAAGUCCUCAGUUUUUUUUUCAGAGUUUUCGAUCUCGAUCUGGUGAUGUGGUUCAAAGUCUAACCUGCCGACUGGAGGUGAUGAAGAAGAAUUGGUGUCGGGGUCGCAACUGGCUUUGGUUUGUACCGAGAACGGGGUGGAGGAUGGCACGGUGGUGGUGGUCCGCCAAGAUCCUAACACGUAGAAUAGUACACAGAGGCCGGUCACCCCGAGGAUAAAGCUCAGGCGCUUCCUUCUCGAUUCUAGUUGGUGUGAUGAUCCACCAUGGUCCUUUCCUCCCAUUUUAGUACUUGCUUCUUUUCACACAUUACAAACCAUGAAAACCAGAGUGAUCAAGUCGGAAGGAAAUGAGUAGAAUAGAACGAGUGACUGACUGGGAAGACAGAGAAAUUUUGUUCAUGUAUUAGCCUCAAUUCUCACUCUCUUCUUCACAUCUAGCUUACCUCUCAAUCUCCUCUAUUUCCCCCUAGCCUUUUCUUACAAACUUUGACCACUUCCUACUAAACUGCCUUAUUAACUGGAUCUCUUCUCUUCCAUCCACUUUUCUUCUUUACUAUUUCAGGAACUCACAAAGUCACAGUCCAAUUUCUGUCAAAUACGAAUUUUAGUUUAUUAACUACCAUUGUUCCUUGAAACAUUAAUUAAUUAAAGUUACAGAUAUAUAACAGCAAGAAGGGGUUUUUUGUAGUUGGACUUUUAAAUUUUUAGUUUGCUUUUAAGAGUUUUUUUUUAGUUGGUUUUUACUUUUGAGAUUUUAGUUGGUUUUCAAUGUAAUGCAUUUAAGACUUUUUUGUUAGUUUUCAUUUAAUUAGUUUAUAUUUAAGAUUUUUUAUUUAGCAACGGUACGAUUUGCGUUGGAUGGUUGAUAUUUUCCCGCCAUUUUAGUUUCGGGUUCGAUGUAUUACCAUCCUAAAUAGCUUUUCGAAUAAUAAAUUGGUCAAUUUGCUCUUAAGACAUUUUAGACUUGACAACGGUUAGAUUGUGUCCGGAUAAUAAAUAUUUGUUUUCCAUCCAUUGUUAUGAAGGAUUUUGUUUUAUUCUCUACUUAAUGGUGCCAACAUGCCCUUGUGGUUUUUUUAAAGUUAGUUUUUAAGAGUAUUCAAUUAGUUUCUAAUGCUAAUAAUUUUAACUUUGGUGGUUAUUAAUGGAUGUUUUAGAGUUUUUAAAAAAUCGCCCUGACAAUUAUAAAUUGCUUGAUUACAUGUUAUUAAACACAUAAUCUCAAAAUCUAAUUCUCUCAUUUUUUUCCAAACGAAUCUCUGAUAAUCAUCCGUCAAUCCAAUCAUCGUCGCGGAUUAUUGCCGGUCGCCGGCCAACAUUGAUGGUCAACUUUUAAAAAAAAAUCCCAAGACACUGUUGGAUAGACGACCAGACUGUUUAUGCGGGAAUGAUCUCGCAGUUGCUUUGUUAAGUAUUUACUAUAUGUCGGUUUUUGCAACUGCAAUUGCUCAUUGUCUAUAACAAAAUUUUCCCAGAUAUCUCCGGAAUGUAAACUCUACAAGAUUAAAAAUAUAUGUAUAACUACAAUUUUAACAAUAACUCAAAACCCAUGUAUUUUUUGCUAUUUGUAAUAUUAUAUAGUUUCAAGGAAGUGAAUUAAUAUACUCUACAUAAAUUAAUUUUAUUAGUAUGAAAUUCAACUAAAUAUAUAGUCUAACUUACAUUACCAACUUUAUAUACAUCACUAUGACAGACGGUGAGCAAAUGUAUACUACAUAUUAACUAAUGGGUAAGGGGCAACGCACAAUAAAAAAAACUAGUCUUAAACUAAUAGUAGUGAUUAGUAUAGUUGGUUUUGGCACAUAUAUAGGCAGGUAGUAUCUUACAGAUUUUCCUUCAUCCAUAUAGUCCGUACUGUUUUAUGUACAGGAUCUUGGUUCAAGGAUUAUAGUUCACUAGAUCUAAAGAGUUUGAUCAUUAAAUCUAGAGGUCUAUAUUAAAAUGUUAUUUGGUUCGUUUUAUUUAAAUCAUUUUAAUUUGUGUAUUCAAAGGCACUGCCACCGGCGAGUUUCCGGUGACUUUUACAGCGAAUCGACACGCUGUGGCUUUUCCGGUACAUUUGCUUUCAGAUUUAUGUAUCUGGGUUUGCAUAAAGUUUGAAGUUGUUUCUGAGAUGCCUGUGUUUGAACCAUCUGGUGUCAUCAUCUCAGUUAAAAUAGGACUGAAAACAGGUUGCAACAAAAGAACACUGAAAGUAAACAUCAGUGUUUAAGAUUGAUCUUGCCGAGUUCAAUUACUUCAGAUCUGCUGAGUUGACUGACUACUUGGAAUGCUCUUGUUAGCCGGCCGGCAUGCCUUGGAUGACAUUGUCUGGCUUCACCAAAUGUAUGAAAAUCGUGGUUAGUUCAUUUUGCUAUACGAGCAAGUUCUCGAGCAUCAAAGGGAAGACUUAUAACUGUUACAAUCUGCAAGCUGUUCUGCUGACAAAAGAACCAAUAGCUAGGAAACCAUUGCAGAAGGGUUUACACUCUCAGGACGAACUCUUGCACUGCUGCAAUAAAGACCAUUCGAGUAAAGGACAGUAAGCAGAUCCUCACUGCAAAGAUAACGAGAACACAGUUUGCAUUGAUAGAUUGAAUAUUUACAUCAACUGUACUGUAGCUGCAAGAUCUUCGAAUUCAAUGGAGCUUACACAAAAGAAACUAGCUGAGAACACAUUUGUUAACGUUGAGAAAAGACAGCAGCCUCGAGGCGUGCUACCCGAGCCUUAAGCAUUUCUAACUCACGUACAAUAUCCGCCUUAUUCACAAUGUUCGGGAAGGCGCGCGCUGAGGCGACUAAAAGGCCGAGGCGGCGUCCUCCUCGCCUCUCGGCUGAGGUGACGAAAUAAGGCAAGGCGACGGCGAGGCGUUGAGUAAUCGACGGCAAGGCGUUGUCUAAACGCCAAGGCCCUGAGGAGGCGGUCAACGCAACGCCUAAUUGAGGGCGAAAUUAAAAAAAAAAUUCAAUUACUUAGCUGAAAAUUGAAGGACCUAAACCUAAUCGUAUCUCCGCCUUCCCGAACAUUGCUCUCANNNN
rnacentral:lncRNA from 1 species